rnacentral:lncRNA from 1 species
UAGACUAUUUCUGCAUCACUCCAUCCAGCAGGCCGUGACGAUUUCUGGAGCCACGAUCGACCACGCCGUGAUACCAUGUAAUCUUCCCUUGGGCAGGAGCCACGACGUGCUAAUCCCCGACGUUUUUCUUCUCCUAAUUCGUCUCCCAACCCUGCAGAUCCCGCUCUCCGCCCCGGCGGCGGCGCAGCAGUUGCUCGAGGAUCAUUCGUCGUGCCCUUUUGUUACUCCAUGAAAGGUUCGUUGUUUCUGCCUCUCUUUUAUAUGGUGAUUCUUGGAGAUUUUCCUUCCUCUCUGUUUCUCAUGAACAGGCUACUCCCUAUUUCAUAGUCACGCUCACGCCCUAUUUCAUAGUCACGCUCACGCAUAAACUCGGCUAGCUUGUUCAUGGAUCCGUGGCUGUAUUCUUGUCCGAUUGUAGAUUUGACAUGCUAGUUUGUUUGAUUUUAAUCUGGCGCUAUGGUGUUUAUUCGUUAUAUCGCUACAUGUUUGUCCGCCGCGAUUCAAGCCACCAGACUUUGGUGUGCACCAAUACAUGUUUUAGAAAAUCGGAUAGAAUUUGUUGACUUCCGAUACAACAUGAACCUGUAAUUUGAUGAAAGUUUAAUCCCGUAUUUAACCAGAUAAAUAAAGGCUAAUAAAAGCAAUUCUAGCUGUGAAUAGUUCCUUUUUUUUGUGUGUGUUAUUCAUCCCGCUCAUUUUCGCUGUCAACACUACAAUUAUAAUUUGGAUAGGAGUAUUAGUUUUGGUGCAAUGAUAAAUACACAUUGUAUUUGUGAGCUGUUUCAGAAACAUGUGUUUUUUAGAAGAGAAACAUGUUUUUGUUCAAAACGAGGAUGCGCACAAUACAGUCAUACUCUUUCCUGGGACGAUAAAGCCUUUGAUGUAAAUUCGUACCCGGGUUCAUGUUGUGUACACAAAUAGUUAUAAUAUGAUCUGUUGUUUUUCGAGACAAAGACAUCAGGUUUUUUUAGGGGGAAACGCUAGGCAUCGGUCGGCUGAUCGGUAAUGUCCGGCACCAAUGUGUCUUCCUCGCCCGCACCUCCUGCUCUGUGUCGUCCUCUCUCAACACACCCGCAUGACUGCUUCUCCCGCUCGCAACAUCUGCGCACCUCUGCCAGCUUGGCUCACAGCGAUGCCGUCCCUUGCAGCAUCACCAACCAUCAUCUCGCAGCGGCACUUGUCAUGCUCUAGAAGCUUAGGAUCAACACAUCCCUCUUGCAUCACCGUGUUUCUCUGUUGCACAAUCGGUGGCAUCUCCGUGCCCGCCCUGCGGUAGUGGUGCCUGGCCCUUGCAGUGUGCAUUGUCGUCAUCGCAGCAUCGGUCGACGACAUGGUUCAUUUGCAGCACGACCUGGCCAUGAAAAGCCGGGCCCGACGGCCCAACCCGAAAAUCCUGCGCCGGACCGGAACUAAUUGUUCCAUCGGACUGGGCUCGGGUCUGAAAUUGUGCCCGACGGUCGGGCCGGGCUCACGAAAACAUGAUUUUAGCCGCAAUCGGGCUGUGUUGAGCAUUUUUGGGUUUGGGCCCGAUUUAUUAGGCCCGACGAUCAGACCAGGCUAGACUCGGGCCUGAGUUUUUAGCAUCGGGCUUUUUUCGGCCCGGCCCAGCACAACAAAUUCCCAGGUAUACUUGCAGCACUGGCAACUCUGGGUCGCAGCAUUUUUUUUCUUUUCAAAACUGGGUCGCAGCAUCUUGCAUCAUCGCUUGUAGCAUCGGUAGCCGGCGUGGUCUGCUUGCAGCACCAAUGCGUAUGCACCGCUAAUAGUAUUCUUACUGACGCUUCCCAUGUGGAUUAGAGCGGCAUGGCAAUUGCCUGAGAAAUCAGGGCCGCUCGUUGGUGGCUCGGUUGCUAGUUUGUUCGGGUAAACAAAGCUGUGUCGCUCCAGGUCACAGGUCACGUAGGAAUCUCCAAACAAGAUACAUUUGCACCGUGGCACCUAAUCACGAACCAGAUCUGACAUGCAUGCGGGCAACAUUUGUAAGGACCGUGCAGGUGUGUACAAAUUGGAAAACUGAGUUACACCAUGUAAACUGAUGAACUUCUUUCCACGUCAAUGAAAAGGUACGUAAGCUUUAUGUGUGUGCGAAAAAAAGAAUGUCAAACCGGAUACAAUAUGAUCAAUUAUCUAAGACGGCCGGGCAAUUUCUUUCAUCCCAGACACUAGGGAGUUGGAAUUUACUCUGUUUAUUAAUGUAUAUGUAGUGGGUUUGUAGGUAUGAAUGAAAUCAUUGGCGUGGCCACAACGAGUUCAUAUGACCUCAACCAAUAAGCGUUGUGUGCAUUUUAUCUUCUUCGACGAGUUAACCUUAUUAACCCAAGAAUGUAUUAUGUGUACCUUGUCAUGUUUUCUUUUCGUCUUUCCUCCACCUCCUUAACUUUCAAAGGUUGGUCCACUAUGCUGUCAUGGCAUUCUUCUCAAAUUAGGAACGUGUGCAACUAGCGAUUAAGCGAAACCGAUUAGUAGAAUUCCAGUUCAUCUGGGUCCGUUCUUGCUCUUUGUCCUCAAUUUUUGUCCCUUUGAAGGUAAAUAAAGGAUGGAGGGUAGCUUCCCUUCCACUUGUUGGCAUGUUGAGCUAUUGUGAAGCGGUAAAGCUCCUCAUCAGCGUGUCGGUAACCGGAUAUUUGUGAUGGAUAUAUAAAGAUGAUAACUUUUGCCGAUUAGCCCGUUUUUUCAUGGAGAAGUAAAGAAAAAAGGUACGCAUGCUACAAUCACACCUGGUCAUUUGGUAGUUCGAUUAUUUGUGUUCCUUUUAGUCAUAGAAGUGAAGUGACCCCAACUCUGUCGAGAUCUAGUGAAGUGACCCCAACUCUGUCGAGAUCUAGUGAAGUGACCCCAACUCUGUCGAGAUCUGCUCUCACGGUUUCACCUAGACAUGCAUUUGAAAGUGUUCAACUCUAAAUAUCGUGCUAUAUGGCGAGCGCAGAGAUGAUAUGAUCCAUGGAGCUAUCUUUUUCGUUUGCUUUCCAUUUCAUACCCAGUCUUCUUUUUUACUAUGGAAAUUACAUUUUGAUCGUUUAAUUUAUGCUACUCUUAAAAUUGUCAUUUCACUUUUUUCCACUUGACAAUGCACCACAAUAGCCGCUUUGUAUACCUAUGCGAGUUAGUAACACAUUAAGAAGAAUCGAUUUCAUCAUUAACUAGGAGUGGAAUAUUAGUCACACUGCAAGUUACAUUCAUAGAACACCUAGAUUAGGUUGGUCGUAAUGAAAGUAUCAUAAACAGUAUCAUGCAUGCCAAUUAGGCUUAUUUGAUGAUGUGACACAUCAUUAAAUAAAGAAAGAGAGGAUGUGGUAACAUAUUAUGAUACCGUAUCAUAUUAAGUACUAAUUUGUGUCAUGCAUGACAAUUAAUAAAACAACCUAGAUACUAACUUAUGAUAAUAUGCAUUAUUUAAAUAAUGUCAUAUACACUAGUAUCAUAUGCAUGAUACUAGUAUAUGAUAGUUAAACUCGUUACCACAUGAUGACACGCACCACCUGGUUGCAGCUACGACCGCCUCCACGGCCAUGGCCACCACCAGCAUAGACUGCGGCAAUGUGGAAAUGCACCUCACUUGCCGUACUGCUAGCUACCCUACUCUUAUCCUAAGCCGAAUUAGGACCUAGCACAGCUUCCACGCCUCACUUGCUGUGACAGGUCCUGGCCAAGCUACCACUGGAUGGUCCAGGUCGCGAACCAAACACGGUCAGGAGCUGUCACACCAAGCACAAGCGGACCAAAUAACACCUAGCUCAAAAAAGGUCAACCAGAAACAGAUGACACCCAAACACUACCAGCAGGAUUUGAGCCAUCUCAAACAAGCAGUUUUGACAGGAACAGAUGACUAUUGCAAAAUUUCUCAUCGCAACAUUCGCUGUAUCACCACAUUGGUCCACUGGUUCAACAGCAAUAGAUGAUGGCACAAGUCUUAGAUUCAGCGAUCAUAACAUGAUAGCAGGAAUUCGAUUAAACCCAUAAGUUCCUUAGCCAAAAUUUCAUCUCCAUUUGUAAACCACCCCUCUGUCCACUAUGUCCAUGUCCGUAUUCCAGUAGGCCUGCAAAAAUUUAUAAGGAAAAGUUACAUGUUAGUGGUUCAGAUUUCACAGAGAGACCAACAAGAUACAUCAAAUGAAAGGAAGAAACCCUUAAACUGAUUACAACGAUGCAUGCUAGUGGUUCAGAUUUCACCGAGAGGCCAACAGAAAUUCACAUGUUAGUUAAUUAUUAAAGUUGUUUUUGUCUCUGAGACUGAUUUCAUAUUUUCAGAUGUGUUGUAUUUAUAUGCUCAUUUUUUAGAUGUAAUGGCAACUUAACCUGAUCUUAGAGGUUACCCAACUAAACCUUUCAGAUAUAAUGUAUUUACAGGCACACCGACCAACGGUCCGGAUUUGAUCUCAUUUGCAUGUGCAGCCUUUACAGUUGUUCAAACAUUUACUAUUGUAUUGAUUUCGAUGGGGUUUGGAUAUGGACCAAAGAAUUUAAUCAAAGUCAGCUGCCAUACAAAUAAACACCAGCGAGGCAAACAUUAAUAACCCCGCCAUAGAUAUUAGAGGAACAGCUCACAGGUCGAUGUCUAAGACACGAGUGAAAUAUGACACCAUAUACAUACUUAGUACUACUCCAUGAACAUGACCAAUCACAGUAGUAGUUUGAGCAUGACAGGAGCUGUGACCGGUUGUUCUUCUGGCAGGGUUGAAUUACAGCAGCAAGGUUAGCGAAGCAAAUGGUGAUAGGAAGCUUGAUGCCACACGCUUUAUUCAUGAUGCAUUUGCUAGUCUAGGAAAAGAAACAUAGAAGAUAUUGCUGAUUGAGGGAGGCUCCAGGCCAGGAGCGUCACGCCCAGCACACACAAACCAAAUGAGCCCAGCUACCCAAUUACGCUGCAUCUGAUUACACCCUAGCUCAAAAGCAGGAUUUGACUACAUACCAUCUCAAACAAGACAGCAAUAGAUGAUGGCAUAAUUCACUAUUGCAAUCUAUCACCACCAUAUACUCAGCCACCGCCAGCCACCUAGUGAACAUCCAAUAUCCUACUUCGUGUCACUAUUGUACAUUCCAGAUCUCAAAACUGUAUGCUGCUGUCAUGACAAACAAGAAUGCAAAUCUGAUCUCAUGAUCAAAUAUAGCCCAUAACUGAAACUUCACCAAAAAUCCAUACCCAAGCUUGAGAAAAUUGUGAAAACAUUUAUUCAUACUCCCUCUGUUCCUGAAUAUAAGGUGUAUUAUUUAUGUAUAUUGUAUAAAACAAUUGUAGAGCCUGUGCUCAAGAAAAGGUAACAAAUUAAGUUGUACAUGGAGGGCAGGUUUUGCACUCCACCAGAACAGCUUACAGCAAGACAUGUCCCAUCCUCAAUGAGAACAGCAGAACACUGUACACAGAACACCAGCAUGCUGCCUGACACAAAAUCCUGCAGUUUCAAGUGAAAGGAAGCAGAGAUGCACGGCGAUACAUCAUCUCUUGUCAAGACUUUAUACACCGUACGACCAAAUCACGAAAAUCUAAAAUCUAAUGUACAGGUCGUUUGAAUUGCAUACUUGACUACCCCCAUUUCACAAAAUCUUUUGCAACAGUGGAAAGCAUUUUGGGUUAAAAAAAGGUGCGAGAUUGAGAUACAAGAAGGUUGGUAAGCGGUUGUCUAUUGCAGUGGGCGGGCCGACCAGAAUUCAUUCCUUAUUGGUUUGACUACAAGCCGAAUUUGGCAAAAGUCCUAAAACAUUGCUGGCUCGAAUCUAAACCACACGCGCGUACAAAUCACCUCACAUCCGUCGAUCCGUACCCACUCAAUCAAUUGACCACGUUAGACUCCAAGCCGCACCAACCCGAGACGCGCAAUCGGGAAACAAAUCGAACCUGAUAUUCAGCGGGGGGCCGACCCGAUCCUCUUUGUGUAGAAGCGGUGCGCCGCCUGCAGGACCUUCCGCGCCCCUUUGUUGUCCGCGCGGGCCGCCUUGAUCCUGUAGAUCCGUGUCAGCGGAAGCUACGCAACGAAACCGAACCAGAAGGAAGGAAAUCGAAGGGGAAGGGACUCGCCUCGAAGCCCGAUCUGACCCGGGACGAGAAGCGAAGAGGCGGUGCGCGAGGCGGCGGAGGUGCUCGCGGUACACGUAGGCAGUGAUGAUGAUGCCGCCCAUGAGGAGAGGCCCUUUGCCCGCCCGAGAGGCCGCGCGGGCGACGGCGCGGCCGGCGGCGACGACGGCGGUGAGGAAAACCCUAGCCAUGACUCUCGUCUCGCUCGUGUUCGUGUGGGAGGAAAUGGUUGGAGCUGGCUGUGGGAGGAACAGGUGAAAGUGAGGGGAUUCAGGGCAUCUUCAAUGGUUGUAAGGGCAUCUUCAAUGGUUGUAAGAUAGUUGUUGGUAAUUUUGACACAUAUGAUUUUUGAUGAUGUGUCAUUGCAAUAAAUGAGGAAAGAGAACAAGGUUGUAUGUAAAUUAACCAACACCCUUGCACAAGCUCCAAUGUAGAAUGAGAGAGCACCUUAUUUAUUACCUCACAUCUUAUUGGGCAAACUAGAUAUAACCCAUUGGAGUAAUUGUAUGUUAAGGUGUUGGCUGAUGACAUGGCAUAUUUUACCAACAAGCUAACCAACAAACUGUUGGAGAUGCCCUCAGAAAGUGGGAGGGGCGUGCUUGCGUUAUGUGAUUGUGUUUUGGGGGUUUGUGAAUUUGUGAUUUCAUACCAUGCAUUCCAACUACCCCUAGUCGCCCCCCCUUCCCUAGACGUCAUGUGUGGCGACGGUUUUGCCCUUCCUCCCCGCCCAUCUACAUCUCACCUCUUCUCUCGUCGUCAAUCCACCAGGUGAAGCCCGGACGUAAUUGGCGACAACGGGACUUACUUGUCUUGACUGUCUCUGGUGGUCAAUGGAUCCUGCGGUGCCAACUAGUGAACCGUUCGGCUCCUCGAAGGGCGAUGUGUGCAGCGUGGUGGGAGGCCAUGGUCUGCUAUUGCAGGUGCGUCGCGGGCAAUGGCUGGACCCCUUCCCCGAGGUUCGAGCAGGUAGAGGGGCGUAGUAGGACACUCGACAAAAGCCUUGUGUUUCAAUAGGCUUGAUGGAUGCUUGCGACAAUGGCACGAUGGUGCCCUCCUUUUUCGAAGCAGUUGCUAAAUGGCACCUCCUCUCCACUAGAAUGGAGUUGGCCAGUUCUUAGGCUUGUCGUGGUGUCUGAUAGCAUGGGCGACAUUUUCUCAAGGUUUGGGAAGGGGGAGGAGGUUUUGGGUGGCUAUAGGCAAAUGCUUAAGCCUCCGACAAGAGUCGAUGUUGGCGGCGACAGUGUCCACAGAUGUCGUUUUUUUCUUGAAGGCAUCACCGAAGAACCCACAUGCUUCUCUUUGAAUUGGGGGCAUCUUGGCGGUGAAGGUCAUGUUUCGUCGGUGUCGGCAUUGUUGUUCUUGUUUCUUUUUCUUCUUUUUGUCGGGCGACUUUGUGUGAAUAUCUCUUAAUAAAUUACAUCUUGUGUGAUUUUUGGCUUAGUUUUUCUUAUAAAUUGGUCUAUUCUUUACGAAAUUGCAGGAUCACUCUUCCCCGUGACAAGGUUCCCUAAAAAAAUAGUUGGUACCUUGUGAUCAAAAGAAGAUUUGUUAUUCGCUGACCAUGACCUAGAGUUUGAAGGCCAUCAAGCAGAGGGGAAUGCAAGAUCUAGUUGCACAGUGUGUCGUGGUAAGUUACUCAAGUGCACAGUGAAAAUUCCAAAUCUGUGCUGACAAUGUUUGCGGUUUAUUUAUUGACUAACUAGGAUGCAUAUCAUGUCAUUUUGGCACCAUAUUCACAUGGUUUUUUCUUAUAUAUUUUUCCAAUUGAGUAGGGCAACUCCUAAUUUUAUUUGUCAUGAAAUGGUUCUAUUAUCAUUCAUCCUAAGUUAAGGAGACAAUGAGUUGACUCACACUCCCAACCAGGGAAGCCAAUGAACACCGACAGAGGUAGGAUACUGUCUUCUUUUCCUCCAGGAAAGGCAGGAGCUCCAUCCGUGCAAUAUAUUAGAGGGAAAAGAGAGUUUAUGCAUAAAGCCAAGACAAGGAGGCCCAAAAGGCCACGCCAAAGAGGACAACAUUGCUACAAUCGGCUGAAGUGCGAUUUUCUGAAAAUUCUUCCCCGAGGGACAUCACUUUCGUCGUUGAGUGGUAGAUCCCCUACAAAAUACAAUUAUUUGUAGUCAAAGAAAUCGAGGUUUGGAUCACUUAGUGCUUGUUCGGAUGCACUCCACUCCAUCAAAUUCUCAGCUCCACUCCCCGCUCCUAGAUAGCUGCUCCUCAUGAUAAAUCGGGAGCUGGCAACCUGUUCGGCAACAAACUCCACUCCAUGUUCUGGAUUGCUGGCUCCCCAUCACACAUCAAUCUGAUUUGACACUUAUCAAUGCAAGCAUGAGUUUGCUUGUGCCAAGGAUGCACAAAAUUACAUAUAAUGCCGAGUUUACUCAAAUGAAGCAGAAAUUUCACACAUGAUUUCUUUGUGCAAAAUUUCACACGUAAUGAAAUUUAUCGCACAGGAGCACUUUAACAUGAAUUUCCUGGAAUUACAGGAUUUUAGCAAUAUAAACAGAAGGGAUUUUCAGAUGACAAACACGAACAAAAGCCACGUAAACACAUGAAUUCUGUUGACACCAAUCUUGUCCUAGUGAAGCUCCUAGAUAAACAAUUUUCAACACAUGAAAAUCUUUAUACACAACAGCAUCAGCAAAACCGCAGGCGCGGCGAAGCUAGCGCUUCGAGCUGUUUCGCUUGCUUCUUUUUUAUUGUGGCAACUGGUGAUGGCUUGAACUGAACCAAAAACAUAUAUACUCUGCUUCAAAAAAAUUGCACCUACAAAAUUGCAAAUUUAUUAGUAGGUACAAAAACAGAUGAAAUAUGUGAAAGAAGUAGAAUCAGGUAAUCAAUGAACUAGCUAACAACAUCUUUCAGAUUCUAGACUGAUGCAUCUUGCCACAAGGAAAUAAAUGACAAGUAAUAUUGUGGCUAAUAUUUCAAAAAAAACUGUAGGACUCUAACAAAUAUAAACACAUACAUGGGUUAGAAACUAGUGUGUACUCACAUUUAUAGCAGAAGCGAAAGUCACCAACCAAGAGCAAUAUCAGUUGCUAGUUUAUUACGAAACAUGUCCAUGUCUUUAUCGCUAGCCUCUGAGGUUGACGCGUCUGAUGCAUUUGAAGGGAUGGCGUACCGUUGAUACCUUGAAGGGAUAGUUGGGACAUAGUUGGGAUCUAUGUCGACUUGAAGAAAGUGAAGAUCACCCUUACCAUGAUAUCGAACAUAAUUGUGAAGGGUCAUAGUUGCAGCCACUAUCAUCUUCUGAGUUUCAACCGAAUAAUUGGGCAUCUUUAGUAAAAUCUGCCACUUCAUUUUCCACACACCAAACCCUCUCUCAAUCACAUUAUGCUUGGAUGAGUGUAUCUUGUUAAAUUUCUCCGUAGGUGUUCUUGGUGCCACACCUCGUUGAAAAUCGGGCACAUGGUACCUCUCUCGCUUGUAAGGUGCCAGAUAUCCAGGUCUAUUAGGAUAGCCCGCGUCCACGAGAUAGUACUUACCUACAAACAACAGGCAGAUUGCAUGUAAGGCCUAUGAUUUUUUUAUAAAGAAUUUGAAUAAACAAAACUAUUAUAGGAACUACUAACCUUUUGGAGGACGAGGAAAGGUAUCUUUGUCAGCUUCAAUAGCAUGAUACAAGACACUGGUAUCAUGCAUAGAACCAGGUUGGCCAACUGAUGCGUACAUGAAAUGCAUGUCAAAAUCACAUAUUGCGAGAACAUUUUGAGUUGUUGAUCCCGACCUUCCAAUGUAUCUAACUUGGUCGCCAGCAGGAAUAGAAGCUCUGACAUGAGUACCAUCUAGUGCACCGAUGCAAUCCUUAAGAUGUGGAUAAGCCCUUCUAUCCUUUUGAAUCCUUGGGUGCACACUACUAAAGUUUGGGUCCUUAGGUUUGAGGUAAUCUGCUGCCAUCUUGAUCACACAGAGCAAAACCUCAUGAAACUUACGAUGGACUGUAUCUCCCGAGUGCUUGAAACGGUUUUGUGUUCUCCUAUUAGACUCACAACCCCCUAAAGUCCACAAAAACAUUGCAAGUGCCUCAUAACUGCUCAUGAAACAGGUUGAUUUGAAGCCAUACCUUUUGACCAACAAGUCAUGCAAUUGAAAGAAAAGGCGAGCGUUCAUCCUCAACAUUGUAUAUGUUUCUCCAGGUGUUGCCACUGUCUCCUGUAGCCAUCCGAACCCACUGAGAAUAGAAUUCCUUGGGUCUACCUUGAUCAAAUAGUUGUCACAAUACUUCCCUGCAAGUAUUGAUGCACCGACAUAUAUGUUGGACAUUGAUUGAACAUGGUGGCAUACCCUCUUCUUCCUUUCUUCAUAACUAUCACUAUCAUUGUCACUAUCCGAUGGCAUCUGAACAUACACAAGUAACAACAAUUAGUACUCAAUUAUCAACCAGAUUAGUCACAACAAGAAGAUAAGUAAGAAUGUAACACAAGAUUACCAAGAUUACCAAGAUAGAAGCAACACAAGUAAGAUUACCAAGAUUGAAGACACGGCUGAAACAAGGUAAAUGAAGGCACACAUCUAAAACAAGGGAAGAAAAGACUAAUGAAGUUCAAACCAAAAUAGUCUUACAGGCAAACCAUAGAGUACAUAAUGAAGUUCAAACUUUAAAUUAGUAUUACAUCCCAAUAGGUAGAAACGACAUUACUAGCAUCUAAUGCCCAUACUUGGUGUUGUAUUUCCUACGCAACCAAUCAAAACGAGCAACACUUUCAGUCAUGUGCAGGAACAUCUCUCUCUGCUCUCUCUUCACAAAUAGUUCACUAGCAAUGAAAUAUUCAUCACUGCCUACUAUUGCACCACACUCAACAACUAGAUCCAUCACAGAAGUAACCGAUGAACUUUCUUCUUUCAUCAUGUAUGACUCAAAUCUAGAUUGGGUCCUCUCUGCGAUAUCUCCAACCCUGGUUAUCUGUUCUUGUAUAACAAGUGAGGUCUUCUGCUUCUUGUUAUUGCCAUCCACAACCCUGCCAAGUCCCUUCCCUUUUCCAUCAGCAUGCGACUCACAUGUUUGUGUCUCCUCCAGAUCAACAUCGUGUAUGUUGUCCACAUUGAAAACUGAAGUUGCACUACUAGAUUGGGGAAUGGUGCCUGAAGCGGGAUUCCAAUGAUCUGUACCAUCACUCGUGAUAUCACCAAACAUGAUAGAUAAGUUAUUCUCAUUUCGAAGUCCACGCUUUUGAAACUUGCCACAACCAGGGAUGUCCUGAAAUAAAACAAAACAAAGAUUGAUUAGCAUCACUACUCCGCGAACAAUUGCUUAUAUGGUAAGAACAAAUAGGAAAAGUCAUGACUCACUAUUUUUUGCUUUCUUCCACCAUUCAGCAUCUUGUUUGACAGUGUUUCUCUCAUAGUCCCACCCACCACCAGUCUCCUUCAACUUGAGUUUUCUGAAGUUGCUGUAAUCAGCCUUCAACUUAUCCCACUUGUUUUUCAGUUGGAGCCUGGUGUACUCCAGACCUGUUCUGACUUUGAAAUCAUUUGCAACUUCCUCAUAAGCAUUUGGAGUCAGGUGCUUGUCUGGCCUGUUGCCAGCACGCACUUGUUGGACAAAGAGCUCGGUCAAGAUCGUAGUAUUGUCAUCACUCCCAUCGGCAGGCAUUCUUCAAGAAAAUUACAUAUUAAUUGCAAGCCUUACAAGUGAACACGUAUUGAUGAAAAAUCAUCAACGAGGCUCCUAGUUACAUGCUAGCAAAGACCAUGGCGAAAAAGAAUCAGCAAAGCUACUCUAGUACGAACAAAUAAUAAAUAGUACUGUAAGAUUUCAUUUGGGACUAACUCUGCACACUAAAGAUAAUAUCGCACCAACCGAUGAAACAACACUCAGACCAAUUCAGACAAAACACGUAUCAGUAUGACUGUCUGAAGAAACACAUUUAAAUUCAGAUAACGUUUCUUCACACUACACAGACCUGAAUCAGAGUAAGGAUCGUAGUAACAGAGAUGCAGAAACGUUUCUUCAGAUCCAUUUAAAUCCAGAUAACGUUUCUUCACACUACACAGACCUAAACAGGCAGACAUUCUUUAAGAAAAUUACACACUAAGGUUCGUAGUAACAGAGAUGCAGCCAAGUUAACAGCAACGGUGAUUGCCUGAUUCCAAUUCAUGCACACACAUCAAACUACACAGACCAAACUGGUACCAACGAUGGAAUACCAUCUAAAAUUUAUUGUUUGUCAGCGAGGUCCUAAAACGCUGCCGAAUCUGCCGGGCCUAAAACGCUGCUGCUGCUGCAGCGUUUGUCAGCAAGGUUCCAUCUACAACUAAUAUUUUCUGGAAUCAAGAACACACCAAUCCUUUCUGGAAUGAAGAACAUAUACAACUAAUCAGGGAUAUGAAUCAAGAACAGAUAGAGGAACAAGGGUGCAGUGAGGAGAUAUGGAUCUCACCUUGCUGGAUGUGUCGUGGGCCUGGAUGCAGACCUUGGUGACGAUGAAUCCAAGCUGCCGGAGACGAGGACGAGGCCCUGUUGAUCUCAGCCGCCGGAGGCCAAGGUCGCAGCCGCCUUGAGAAGGUGGGCGACGAGGAGAUGGCGAGGUCGCAGCCGCUUGAGGAGGGGGACGAGGAGAUGGCGAGGAGGGGGACGACCAGACGAGGAGAUGGCGAGGAUCUGACAGCAGGGGUAGCGGCGGCAGGGAGCUAGGGUUCCAUGUUGCAAGUUGUUUUGGGGAGGAUGAAGGGGAUCGCACAUGUAUGUUUUGGGGAGGGAGUCGCGGGGAGUCGACCUUAGCGACUCCACCAAAUCUGACUCGGAUUGGCUCCGCUCCACUCUUUUGACUCCGUGGAGUUACAGCGUUCGACGCGCUCCUCCCGCUCCCGGAGCGGAGUUGUGGAGUGGAGUGGAUCCGAACAGGUCCUUAAUAUCCCACAAAACCUUUAUGUGUUUCAGAAAAAACUGUGUAGUUUUGUAUACGUCUUUUUGUGCCAAACAGUAAGUUGCAUUUUCCGGUCCGUAGGUGUCUGAACAAAUGCAAAUGAUAAUAGAGACACCCACAGGAGCAAGCAAACCAAAGUCAUGGUAUGCAAAUACCAAAGUUGUCCAUCUCAACUCCGCUGCUUCGUCCUCAGUCAGACCCGGAUUAGCCUAGUUGUCCUUAUUUCUGUCUUGGGGAUUAUUGUGCUAUUCCCCCAGCAAGACUUUGUAUUUUCAUUUGUACUUUGGCCAUGGUUGUGUGUCAGUUGGCGUUUGCUUGGGUGCGUUGAACAUUUUGGUGUCUCGUAUGCUUUGGUCGAGGCUUUAUAUAAUAUAAAGCGGGGGAAAAUCCUUUUUCGCCGAAAAUACUAUGAGUAAAUUGCAGAAAACUAACAUUUUAAAGGUUAGGUGAGCAGAAAAUACUAUGCUACACUUUUGUUGCAAAAAAUAUCACGUCUUGUGUAAUUGAUUUGCAAAAACCAUUGAUCGAUCAAUUUGGCUCGAUUGAGCACAUUUAUGACACAUGGGCUUCGUUUGUUAGGCUGAUGUGGCAUCGUUUAACAUAUCUCAUAUAACGGCGUUGUUUGAUAAUGUUAUCAUCAUGUGUUGCCUGUGGGGUCCACUUGUCAUUGGAAGAACAUAAAAAAACGGGUUUGUCCUAUCUUCACCACCCGCUCAAAGAAUAACAAUGCUGACACCGACGAAACAUGACCUCCACCGCCAAGAUGCUCCAACUCAAAGUAUGUACUAUGCUACUUGACCAAAUUGUACCAAGGCAAACACACGCUACACAUGCAAGUCUAAGAGUAUAGCAGCGAAAAGUAAAGACAUGCACAUAUAAAUAGAGGGUAGGGAUAGGAAGAUCAAACACAAAGAUUAACACGGUAUUUUUUGGUGUGCUUCCGAUAGGUGGUGCUAUCGUACGCCUACGUUGAUGGAGACUUCCUCCCACGGAGGAUAACGGCUGCGUGAGUUCACGAAGGGCUCAACCCACGAAGGGUCCAUGGAGAAGCAACCUUGUCUAUUCCAUCACGACUUAUGUUCAUAAAGGACUAGCCUCACUCGGGGUAGAUCUCCACGAAGUAGGCGAUCUCCUUACCCUUACAAACUUCUUGGUUCAACUCCACAACACGAAGUAGGAGGCUCCCAAGCGACACCCAACCAAUCCAGGAGACAUCACUCUCCAAAAGGUAAUAGAUGUGGUAGUAUGAUGAACUCCUUGGUCUUGUGCUUCAAAAGAUUGUCCUCAACACUCAAUCACUCUCUCACAGAUUUGGCUUGGAUAGAAAAGAUUGAUUGGGUGGAAAUCAACUUGGGAGGCUAGAAAUCAAGAUUGCAAUGGUAGGAUUAGAAUAUAUCUUGAUCUCAACACAUGAGUAGGUGGCGCGCUCUCAGAAAAAUGGAUAUGAAAAUUGUUGGGUCGUUCUGAAUGCUUCCUUUAUGAGUGAGAGGUGGUGGAGGGUUAUAUAUAGUCAUCUCAAAAAAUCCAACCGUUACAACAUUAUUGCUCAACUCGGUGAAACCGAAGUGAAACUCGGUGGUACCGACUAGUGUAAAAUGUGGCAACUUUUGUAUUUUUGGUGAGAUCGAUAUAUGAAUCUCGGUGGUACCGAUUUUUGCUGGCCUAGUCAUUUUCCACAACUCGGUGAGACCGAUUCUCAAAACUUAGAAAUUCCAAUUUUGAGAAGUUGGUUACCUGAGCCCGGGGCACCAAUUUCGGUUGCACCGAAAUGACAGUUGGGGUCAGCGAGAUGCUAGGGUUUGGCAUGGGAUCUGUGUGAGGUAAAACUCGGUAGGGUCGAAUGGAAAAAAUUUGGUGGCACCGAAUUUUGGACUUUGUGGAUUAUGAAAAAAUAUUUGUGGGAAAAUUUCAUGAGUAUUUUUCGUGGCUAUCUCUAAGCACUUGAGCAGCGAGAUCAACAUAGUCACCUCAUCCCCUUUUAAUAGUAUUGGCUUUCCUAUGGACUCAAAUGUGUUUUUUCCAGAAAAUAUAAAAUGUAGAGUCUUAAAGCUUGUUCCCAAUAGAUGCUCCUUGCAUGUAGGGGUUCUCCUUACAAUCCUUAGCGAAUGCAUCAUUGAACUUUUCAUGAAAUAUACUAGAUGGAAUCAUUAGAUCAAUGACACAUAUGUUGUGAUUAAUUACCAAAACCACCUUAGGAAGAAAUUACGCUUUCAAUAUCCUCCUUUUUGGUAAUUGAUGAAACCAUAUAGAUCAAUGCUUCGACAUAAGAUAUAAUCAAUGAAUAACAUCUUUGCUUUAGCAUCUUCGCUUUGAGAAGUAUGUGAUAAGCAAGAGCUCCUCCUAAAUUUUUGCAUUAUUUUAAAUUUGCGUUUGAAUGCAAAUGCACAAUCGAUUAAGAUCAUGGGUCACUCUUCCAUGUCACAUACAACUUGGUGGUGCACAUAAAUGAUAUGAAUGAAUAGUAAUGCACAUAACACCAAACAAUAAGUGAAUGAUCAUCAUACACAUAGCUCAAGGAUAGGAAACAAUAACGUCAACAAUCAAAGCGUAUGAUCAAACACAAUAAAGUAUAAGACAUCAAACAAAACCAAAUGUUUUAGAAAACCAAAGAAACUGUAUUGGUUCUUAAUACAUUUUUACAUGAAUUGAGACAAUCACUACCUUGCUUCCAUCAUCGGGUUUAGGUUAGCCUCAUUCAAAAUUGAUGUAGUCCGAGGUAGAAAGCUAUAUGGCGCAUUUGGUUGCUCACACCAAUUUUGGGAUAUUUGCAUAGACUUUUCAGAUGGACCUGACCGAGGAAAAAUGUAACACCCCAGAGUCAUGCUACAGUGAGCUCACACUAAAGGUGCUAUGUCAUCAUGUUUAACUAAGCCAAAUUAUCACUUGAUAAAAAUCAAAGUCAAAUUAAAAUUUAAAUAAAGUCAAAUAAAAUAUUUCUUCAAAUGUAAAACAAAAUUGUUGGUUAGGCUGCAAAUCUUCCCUAAGUAAUUAUGUUAAGAAAAACAACAUGACCUCAACCACCAAAAUGCCCCUAGGAAUUAUAACAGUGAGAAAGUGAUACUCGUGAUCUGCGUUGGGUUUUUCCCGAAGAGGAACGAGUUAUCGCAUCACAAAGUGGGUAAGUCUUUCCCUCAGUUAUGAAAUCAAGGCUUAUCGAACUAAUAGGAAUAUCAACCACAACCGUCUUCAGUGGCUGCACACAAAAGAACAAACAACUUGCACCCAACGCGGACAAGAGGGUUGGCAAUCCUCUUGUCUUAUUAUUUGCAAGCAAGUGAGGUGCGUAGAUAAUUGUAGAUAGUAAGAUAAAAUUAAAACAAAUAAAUGGCAGAGAGGUAAUGAAUGUUUUAUCAAUAUGUUGUGAAUAGAUCUGGGGGCCAUAGCUUUUCCUAAUGGCAUCUCUCAUAAAAAAUAGCAUACGAUGGAUAAACAAAUUACUAUUGGGCAACUGACAGAAAAGCAGAUAGUUAUGCGAUAUUCACGACAAUGAUCAUGUGUAUAUAAGCAUCACGUCCAUAAACAAAUAGGUUGACUCCUGCCUGCACCUAUUACAAUUACUUCACUUCAAGAGCGCUUCUAUGUUUGCCUCUCUACGUAUUAAGUUCAUGACGAACGAAGUAAUGCAUGGAGUAAAAUGACAUGAUGUAGACAAACUAAACUUAAGCAAUAUGAAUAAAUCCCAUCGUUUUCUCUUUAGUAGAAGCAACACAAAGACACAUCUUGUCCCCCUCCGUUACUAGGAUAUAGAAACUCAUCAGGUUGAACCUACUACAAUGCACCUCUCUCACCGAAGAAAUACCGAUCUAGUUGGCCAAACUAUUUCAAUAGAUCGGAGAGAACUACGAAGCUAUCAUAAUAAUGUACAUAAGAAUCAUAUAAGUAUUCAAAGGCGACUCAGAUAUUCAUCAGGAAUAAUAUGAACAUAAACCCACAAUUCAUCGGAUCCCAACAAAGCACCACACAAAAGGAAUUACAUCAUAUGGAUCAAAGCAAAGAUGCGAUGAUCAUUGCAUUAAAGAUCAAAGAGAGAGAGAGAGAUUGCCAUCUAGGUACUGAUUAUGGACCCGUAGGUCUAUGGUGAACUACUCACACAUCAUUGUGAGACUAGCAAGGUUGAUAAAGAGCCCCUCUUUGAUCGACCCCCCUCCGACAGGGUGCCAAAAUAGAGCUCCAGAUGGCAUCCCAUCAGAACAGAGACUUGCGAUGGCGUAAAAAGUGUUUCAGGACCCCUUCUGGUGUUUUUAGGGUAAAUAAGAAUUUAUAAGCCGAAGAACGGAGUCGGGAGAGCCUCGAGGGGGCACAAGCUAUCAGCCCCCCGACCGCGCCCUGAUAGCUUGUGGACCACUCGUUAGGCCUCCAACUUCCUUUCGAUGCUCGUUGGUGUUCUUUUGGUCCAGAAAAAAUCAUCAAAAAGUUUCGGGGCAAUUGGACCUCGUUUGGUAUUGAAAACCUGCAAAGUGAAAAAGACGCACAAAACAUCAAUUGGCACUGGGCACUGAGACAAUAGGUUAGUGCUUAAAAAUAAUAUAAAAUGGUAAAUAAACACCACAAAAGCAUACUAGAAUGAUAAUGUAUCAGUGUGGUACAAUAAAAAAUUAUAGAUACGUUGGAGACGUGUCAGAAAGCAUCAAAUAACUUGAUCUUUUCAAUUUCUAAAAAUAUUUAAACUUUAAAAAUUACUCUCAAAACUUGUUGUGCAACACCACAACAUUGUGCAUGAUUUAUAUGCCAAGUUUCUUACAUAAAAAAAUCAUUUGGUGGGCCAACCGAUUGCAAAAUAGAAAGAAAUAAAAGAAUCGGAAAGGGAAAGAAAAAGGGGCAAAGACCCACUGUGCACGUGGGCCAUCAGUGCACAGUGCGGCCUGACCCAUCCCACCCUAGGUCUUUCCCUUCCUCUAUUCACAGAGGCGAGGUGGGCGUCGUGCGGCCGCUCAUAGCAGGGAUGGCCACGUGUCGGCCAUCUGACGCCUCCCCGCAGUGCAUAUGGUCGCUGUCGAGCCCCCGAACGGAACCCUAACAUUCACAUCCUCUUUCCCCUCUUGUCUUCUUCUCCCCCUGCAUAUGGUCGAGCCCUCGCCGCCAUGAAACCUCCUCCGUCGAUGCGACCACCUUGCCCCUCGCAGGCUGAAGACGUGUCCAGCCGCUCUGUCAUGCUCGUUUACGUCAUCCACGAGCCUCCGCUCGAGGCGGGAUGCACCACAACGCCGGAUCACCGUCAUCUCCAACCUUCGUCCACCGGUGCUCCGCUCGCGAUUCUCCGCCUCUGUCACUCCUAUUCAUUCACCGAGCCACCAUGCGCCUCCCCCGUGAGCUCCCACUCUCUUUCCUCUCUCUUGCGCCUCCCCGCUUGUUCCCUAGCUCGCCUUGCCGUCGUUUCCCAAGCUCACUCCCGCCGCUUGCAUUGUUGUCGCGGUCAGUGCAUGCCUAGCUCACGCCUGAGCAUUGCGCGGUGCUCCUGGCAUCUCCAGGAGGCCGGCGUGCCCCUUAGCCGGCCCGUUUGUGCCCAGUAGCCACCUGAUGAUGAGUUGAUGGAUAUAUUUCUCGCCCCUCGUUGGUUAUCCCAAGUUGAAGGUGGAGAUGUAGUCAGUAGCAGAUUUCCCUUACAUGGGGACUGUAAGGUUUAUCGAACCAGGAAGACUCCGAGGAUCAACAAGUAGGUGUCCGCUGCUCUGGCGCUAGCAGAAGACGUGGACCUGCAUACACAACAAAUAACUUUGCUCCCAACGAGUUCAGAGAGGUUGUCAAUCUCCCCGGCCUUGUAAUUUGCAAAGGAUCAAAACACAAGCGGGAAUAGCGAUAGUGAUUGCAACGGAAAAGUAAAUAAAAACAAUAAAUGGUGGAGGUGUAAACAAUGGUGGAAAUAUGGACCAGAGUCACAUGAUGUUCACUAGUGAUGUCUCUCUCCCAAAAGACGAUAAACAACUAUGUUGGGUAAACAAAUUAUAGUUGGGCAAUUGGCAGAAUUAUAAACGCACCGCAAUGCUAAUCAUGCUACAAGAAAGUUAGAUGCUCAAAAGUAAUGGGCACUACACCAAGACAAGUAGACCGUUUAUCCAUCAUCAUCUACUCUCUAAUCAUCCACCUUGAGAUAUCUAUGCAGAACAUCUCGCUGGUAUUAAGUUGCGAGCCCCACCCAAAGUGUAAACUCAAAGCAACGGACAACUGCAUUAACAAACUUUCCGUAAGGUAAAAAAUCCUUGCAACCGUGGUCACAAGCACUGUUGUUUUCUCUCUGGUGGCAACAUCACAUCCCCUAGUCUCAUGUUUUUGUCACUCAAGCUAGACAUCAGGGGGCAUGAAUCCACAAUCAUGCAUAACGCUCCCUCUUGGAGUUACAAUCUACUACUCGGCCAAAGCAAUAAAAAGCAACGGAGAACAUGCAUGAAUUACUCAAGAACAUAAUAUAAAAGGAGAACCAAAUAUAUAACUCAUCACGAUCUGAACAUAAUCUUAUAAUCCAUCGGAUCCCAGCAAACUCAACAUAGCAACAUCAGGUAAAUUACAUAGAUGCCUUGAUCAUGUAGGGUAGCUCACAAGGGCUAAGCAUUAAAGCACGAGAUUGGAGAGCAGACAUCACAUAGCUACUGUUCAUGGACUCAUGGUCCAAGGAGGACUACUCACGACACGUCCUAGAAGUGUCCAUGAUGGUGGAGAAGCUCCCGGAGGUCAAUCCUCCCUCCGACAGGGUGCCGGGAAGAGGUCUUCUAGCACAGCUGAGAAAUUCAUGGAAGCACUGCGGCGGCGACACGGUGGAGAAAUUCACGAUUCUCGAUAUCUUUGUAGGGUUUUUCGUCCGAGGGGUAAAUAUAGGCCAAAGGAGGGCGCCAGGGGGUGCACCAGCCGCCCAGGCGACCUGGUGGCGCGGCCAGGAGGGGACCGCGCCAGGUGGCCGCCUGGGUGAGGCCUGACUCCCCUCUGGCCCACCUUGGUGCUUCGUGAAUCUUCCGUCACGCUGAUUUUUAUAUAUUUUCUUGGGAUUUUUGGGGCUCUAAAAAUUGGUGUUAAGUCCCUGCAAUUAAAAGACAUCAACAGACAGAAACUGGCACCGGGUGCACUGAGUUAGUAGGUUAGUCCAAAUAUGUGUAAAAAGGUAUAAAAGUGUAGCAAAACAUAUAACAAUGUCACCCAAAAGAGCAUGGAACAAACAAAAAUUAUAGAUACGUUUGGGACAUAUCAACAUCCCCAAGCUUAAUUCCUGCUCGUCCUCGAGUAGGUAAAUGAUAACACAAAUAAUUUAUGUGGUGACAUGCCAACACACAUAUAAGAACUUCAAAGUAAAGCAAGUAAGAUAUGCAAUUCAAGUCAAGACAAUAACAAGCAAGAGUCUAUAUUUAGUAUUGAAAAUAGCAAAGUAAGAACAUAAAGGUGCAAGAGCUCUCGCUGUCCGUGACUCGAAUGUCUCCAAAUGGUGUUUGCGUGCAAGAAGUGGGAGAUGGGUUUAGAGCAUAAAAAUAUUAUAUAGUUUAAUUGAGAACUCAAUCUAGUAAAACUUCACACUUGGUCUCCUUCGGAAUCUUAUUUUGACUCAUCCCCAGACCACUAGUCACGCACAAGUCAAAAUGAUCCUCUCCCUGUCGACUUUGAGCACUCAUGCAAUGGAUGAGCGCAAGCAAGAUAUGUUGGCACUUAGGAUGGCAAAAAUAAUAAUGAUGGGAAGGAAUACAAAAAAAAGUGUGGAAGGCUCACAUCAAUGAGGACAACCAUAGGCGAGAUAAAGCCAAAUGAUAGAUAUGAUAAUCGAAACUGGAUCAAAAAAAGCAGGAGUAUCUUUUUUGAAAAAGAUUGGAAAAAAGUAAGUUUAAUUAUAUUCAAAAUAAAAGAGUAGGGAUUGCCAUGCAACGGUUGCACAUAUGAGCUAAGGUAAGCUCUCCAAUGUAACUAGUGGGGGUGCAUCCAACUUGCUUGCUCAUGACGAUCUAGAGCUCAUUUGAGGAGGCUCAUCAUUGGAAUAUACAAGCCAAGUUCUAUAGUGUAAGGGUCCCCACAUAGUUAUGCAUGAAUGAUAAUCUCUAUGGAGUACAAAUAUAACAAUGGAGUACGAGUGUGGAACUUUUAAAAGGAAUAGUAGUGUUGCCCCCUUCUCUCUUUUUAUUUAUUUUUUUCUUUUUCUUUCUUUAUUUUUAUUUUUGUGGCCUCUUUGGCUCUUUCUAUUUAUCUCUCAUUUGUCCUCUUUGGGAUCUUUUCAUGUGUCCUCUUUGGGAUCUUUUAAUUUGUCCUUUUUGGGAUCUUUUCCUCACUUGAGGGCAACACUCUAUAUUUUACAAGAAUAAAAAGAAGAUCUUCACACUUUAUAAGAAGUACUCAACAUAAAGACAAAUGAAAACUAUCAUGAUGUUGUAAAUGUAUGCCUCUGCGAGUGUAGCAGGAUAUGCAAUGAAACUAGCGCGUCAUGUAGAAAUAAUAAGGACAAGGCCCAACUAGCAUGCGGCUCCUCGAUCAAGCAAAAACAUGUAUGACAUGAAGAUCAAGUCAUGAGAUGAUGGAUGUUGCAUGGCAAUGUAUCUCGGAAAGGCUAUGAAAAUGCCUUAAUAGGUAGGUAUGGUGGCUGUUUUGAGGAAGGAUAUAAUGAGGCUUAUGAUGACAGAGCAUAUCAUGCCAAGGGUUUGGAUGCACCAGCGAAGUUUGCACAACUUUCAAGAUGAGAAAGGGCAAUGCACGGUACCGAAGAGGCUAGCAAAAUAUGGAUGGUGGAAGUGCCAACAAUCGAAUACUCGCAUUAGUCCAAAGAACUCAUGCACUUAUUAUCGGUAACUCUCUAUCUAGUCAGGAGAUUCACAAAGAGACGAGUACCCCGAGGAGGAGUGUUUGGGGGUUCGGUUAUCCUUGCGCAUCCUCGACCCAUGGUAACGUGAGGGUACUCUAUAUAUUCCAACCCCUACAGAGGUUAGCGAUCCAUCUAGUAGCUAGUGUUCUCAAUUUUUUUUAGUUUUUGAAAAUACAUACACAUUUCUAAAAGUACGACACCUAUCACUAAUAGGAUCAAGCUCUUGACACCAAUAGUCCAAACAUUACUCAAAUCAAUACCUCAAAACUAUUGCAAGUUACUACUAUACUUAAAUAGCAACCUGAGUUACCUACUCAUGCAAGACAGACAACUCAAUGCAACAAGCCAACUCUCUAAAAAAGAUAAGCAUGAUAACUCAAGAGAGUUCCAAAAGUAACAUAAAUAAAAGCUCUUAAAAAAUAAAGCAUGAAGACUAAGAGCUAAGCAUGACAGCAGCUAUGAAAAGAUAAAGAACACACAAAAAGAUAAGCAUGAAAACCUAUGUUCUGUUCUAGGGUGGAGUGGAGUGUGGUUCUCUCCCAAACAAGGAAGGAUAGGUUCCAACUUGUUAUGAACAACAAUUAAAACUAAAACAAACUAAAAAGUAAAGAGAGGGACACUCCAGGCAUAACACAUAACAUAUGAAGUGAUAAAAAUAUAGCAUGGAGAAGGGCGAACUGAUGAUUGUUGAUGGAGAAGGGGAUGCACGGGGGCAUCCCCAAGCAUAAACGCUUGAGUCUCCUUGAAUAUUUCUUGGGGGUGCAUGGGGGCAUCCCCAAGCUUGAGCACUUGACACUCAUGGAUCUUCUUUCAUCAUCUUCCAUCGCAUACUUGAAAACUUCCUUCAUACGAAACUCAUCAUAAGCUGAUUAGAGUGGUUAGUGCCCAUAAUAAAAUACUUUAUUCUCUACUAGAAAUAAAUAUUUUCAUGAAGAAUUACUAUUUCUCAAGAUUGCCAAAAGGUUUUUGCAGAGAAAAAGCAAGCUUAAGAUUUGCAAAACAAUGAAAAUGCAAAAGACGGCACAAUCUGGGAAAAACAGAACAUCAGGUAGUAAAUGAUAUUUUCGGGGCACUUCUGCAACUCAAAUAAAAACACACAACAGAUGCCAGAAAGACAAUUAUAUAGAGCAUACUGUCAAAACAAUUCAGAUCAAAAAGAUGAUCAAGCAGACAGAAUCUGUUUUUUGACAGCAUGUCACAACUUUUGAACUUUCUUGCAAUCGGAGGCUAAAACUUGGCACAAAGCUUGAAAAUAAAGAUACAAUGAUGUUGCUACAGUAGUAACAAGCAUCAAGACCACUAAAACUGAAAGGAAAAACAAAUUGGGUUGCCUCCCAACGAGCGCUUUCUUUUAUGCCUUUGAGCUAGGCAUGAUGCAAAAAGAUCAAGUAUUACCAACUCCAAAAGAAUAACUUGCCCGAGUAACAGACUCAUAAGGUAACUUAAUCUUCUUUCGAGGGAAGUGUUCCAUUCCCUUUUUAAGGGGAAAUUGGAAUCUAAUGAUACCUUCUUUCAUGUCAAUGAUAGCACCUACGGUGCGGAGAAAAAGGACGUCCCAGAAUAAUUGGACAUGAGGGAUCACACUCAAUGUCCAUAACAAGAAAAUCAACGGGAACAUAAUUAUCAUUGACAACAAUAAGAACAUCAUCAAUUCUCCCUAAAGGUUUCUUUAUGGAAGAAUCAACAAGACGAACACGAAAAGAACAUUGAUCAAAAGGUUUCAAAUCAAGCAUAUCAUACAUUCUUUUGGGCAUAACGGAGGCACUAGCUCCAACAUCACAUAAAGCAAAGCAAGAGAAAUUAUUCAAUUUAAUCUUGACCAUAGGAUCCCAACCAUCUUCUAGUUUUCUAGGAAUAUAAGUCUCUAGCUUGAGCUUCUCCUCCCUAGCUUUGAUAAGAGCAUUGGUAAUAUGCCCGGUGAAGGCAAUAUUGGGUGUACUAGUGUGGGGGGUAUUUAGCCAUUCUUUGCAAAAAAGUGAUAACUUUCAGAAAGACUACAAUUAUCAAAAUCAAGAUUAUUACCAUUAAUUUAGGUGGUGCUGAUGUCAUCUAAACUCAUUCUUUAGGUAGUCUCUAAGUUCAAAGGACCUUCUUGUCCUAAAGUUGAGGUAUUAGCAUCACCAUUAAUAGGUCCAUUGGGACUAGGGAUGUGAUGGGUGCUAAUAGUUUUGAGAUCCUCAACAACUUGUAUAGUAGCAAGGGUAGUGUGUGUAGGAAGGCUCUUAAUCCUAUCUCCCUCUUCUUUUUCUCUUGCCCAUCUAUCAUUAAGUUUGGCUAGCAUUCUUAUGUUUUCAUUAAUUUGGACUUGGAUAGCAUUCAUGGGUCUAGUUUGCCUUUCCUCAAGGGGGGGGGUUCUAAUUUUAAGCAUCUCUACAUCAUGAGCUAUGUCGUCUACCUUCAAAGAGAGAUUAUCUAAUCUUUCUAAUUUCUCUUCUACACUCUUGUUGAAGGCUUUUUGAGAAGUGAUAAAGUCUUUAAGCAUGCUCUCUAAUUCAGAAGUGGAGUUUUUGGUGCUAGGAUAAGUGUUGUUGCUACCAAAAUUACUCCUAUAAGCAUUAUUAUUAAAGUUGUUCCUAGAGAUAAAAUUAACAUCAACUUGCUCUCUUUCUUGAGCAAUCAAAGAAUUUAAAGGAACAUCAUGAUGAUUAAUAGGAGCUUGCUUAGUAAGUAAAGUCAUGAUCAAGUCAACCUUAUCAUCAAGGGAGGAGAUCUCCUCAACAGAGUUUACCUUCGUACCUGUUGGAGCUCUCUCGGUGUGCCAUUGAGAAUAAUCUGUCAUCAUCUCGUCCAAUAGCUUCGUCGGCCCACCAAGUGUAGUUGACAUAAAGGUUCCUCCCGCGGCCGAGUCCAACAGAUUCCGCGAGGUAAAGUUCAAUCCUGCAUAGAAAGUUUGAAUAACCAUCCAAGUAGUCAAACCAUGUGUAGGGCAAUUCUUAACAAGAGAUUUCAUACGUUCCCAAGCUUGGGCAAUGUGUUCAUUAUCCAGCUGUCUAAAAUUCAUAAUGUUACUUCUUAACUAGAUAAUGUUAGGAGGCGGGUAAUACUUCCCAAUAAAAGCAUCUUUGCACUUAUCCCAAGAAUCUAUGCUAUUCCUAGGCAAAUAUUGAAGCCACACUUUAGCUCCUCCUAUCAAGGAGAAAGGAAAAAAGCUUAAGUUUAACAAUAUCACCAUCUACUUCUUUGUACUUUUGCAUAUCACAAAGCUCAACAAAAUUAUUCAAGUGCAAAGCAGCAUCAUCUCCGGCAUCGGAGAAUUGAUCUUUCAUAACAAGGUUCAGUAAAUCACGUUUAAUCUCAUAGGAGGUCGCCUCAGUGGCGGGAGCAGCAAUAGGAGUGCAGAUAAAGUCAUUGUUGUUGUGACUAGUGAAGUCACACAACUUAGUGUUCUUAGUGGAACCCAUAGCAGCAGCAACAAGCAAGAACAAAGCAACUUAUUUUUUGUGGUUUUUGGUAUAAGACUCUAAAGCAAAAACUAGAAAGCAAACUAACAAGACUAAAAAGCAAAGGUAAAAGAUAGUGUGCAACUCCCCUAUCUUGAAGACUGGAGUCCCCGACAAUGGCGCCAGAAAUUUGCUUGAUGACGAGUUGAUGGAUAUACUUCUCGCCCAUCGUUGGUUACCCCAAGUGGAAGGUGGAGAUGUAGUCAGCAGUAGAUUUCCCUUACACGGGGACUGUAAGGUUUAUCAAACCAGGAGGACUCCAAGGAUCAACAAGUAGGUGUCCGCUGCUCUGGCACUAGCAGACGACGUGGACCUGCACACACAUCAAAUAACUUUGCUCCCAAUGAGUUUAGAGAGGUUGUCAAUCUCUCCGGCCUUGUAGUUUGCAAAGGAUCAAAACAAAGCGGGAAUAUCGAUAGUGAUUGCAAUGGAAAAGUAAAUAAAAACAGUAAAUGAUGGAGGUGUAAACAAUGGUGGAAAUAUGGACCAGAGUCAUAUGAUGUUCACUAGUGAUGUCGGGGACUCGAGCAAACUCAGCAUAGCAACAACAUGUAAGUUACAUAGAUGCCUUGAUCAUCUAGGGCAGCUCACAAGGGCUAAGCAUUGAAGCACAAGAUUGAAGAGAAGACAUCACAUAGCUACUCGUCAUGGACUCAUGGUCUAAGGAGGACUACUCACGGCACGUCUGGGAAGCGUCCGUGGUGGUGGAGAAGCUCCCGGAGGUCAAUCCUCCCUCCGGUAGGGUGCCAGGAAGAGGUCUUCUGGCGCUCCCUAUCUCGGAAGCGCUGCGGCGGCGAGACGGUGGAGAAAUUCGCGAUUGUGGAUAUCUUUGUAGGGUGCACUGAGUUAGUAGGUUAGUCCAAAUAUGUGUACAAAGGUAUAAAAGUUUAGCAAAACAUAUAACAAGGUUACCCAAAAGAGCAUGGAACAAACAUAAAUUAAAGGUACGUUUGGGAUGUAUCACCACGCUGUCGUCAUUGUCUGCCAUUGCCACCGCUCGGACGUCAUCGCCACUGCUUGCUUCGACCACCCUGCCUCCGUUGCAUGCACCGCUGGACAUGCAUCGUUGCGUCGUUCGCCUAGGGCCAAACCGUGCGCCAAAUGGACGUCGGAGGCGACCACACGAUCAUCGCCGGUGUGCCCUACCCCGUCGUCAGUAGUAAGUCGGAGUGUCGCUGACAUGGCGCUUAAUUAGUACUAACCUAAUUCCCCACUAACCCAUUAGCACGUGCGCCCAAGGCUAUUAUUACUAGGAUCAAAUCCACUUAAACUAAAAUGUCCCGCUGUCAUUUACAUGUGGGGCCAACGAUACUGUUCUAGUGGAUGAGGUUAAAUUAGCCAUGUUCCUGUGACAUGUGCCCCCCUACUAAUUAUCCUUAUAAAAACGUAACUUGUUAAGUUAAAAUUCACUCACACCGUGGUCCCACUGAACAGUGAUACGUGUUGACCAAUCAAAUAUUGACUAGGUCAACUGGGCCCUCUAGCCCCACAUGACAACUACCUAUGCACAUUGCUGGCACACUUCUGUGUACCAUAGAAAUUUCAGUAUUUAAUUUUUCGAAUUAAUAUAUUCUAUAAAUUUCAUAAUAUUAAUAAAACUUUGAAAAAUCAUAUAAAAUAAAUAGUAACUCAGAUGAAAAUAAUUUAUAUAUGAAAAAUGAUUAGAAAAAUAUAACAAAACUGAUUUUGCCAUCCACAUAGUUGUCACGUCCCUCCACCAUAAUGAACUUGGACAUUUUGCAUUAGGAUCAUCUAAUCGAAAAAUACGUGUAGCCGAGAAAAUACCGCAUGAUAUUUCCCCCUUCUUUUAAAAAUUCUGAGGGAUGCAUUAGAGCAUGACACCCACACAACUUGUCGUGCCAUUGCAUUUGUGUUGCAUUUGAUUUCUCCGUUAUUUAUUUUGUUUCUCCUUGUGUUACUUCUUUUCCGGUAGGCCCCGAGACCGUUGUUGAUACGGUGAUCGAUUUCUUCACCGUUGAGGAUUCGUAUCUGUCUGCAGAGCAAACAGGCAAGCAAACCCCACUGGACCAUCCAUAUAUUGCCCAAUUUUUUCUCCCUCGUGCUUGCAUUAGAAUUUUCUAUUAUAUUUGAUUGUUCCUAUUCUGAUACAUAGCCUGAUUUUGUAGCCUACUGUUGUUACCUACUUGCUUACACUAUAUGCUUUGUAUUGGUUGGAUACUGAGCCACCAGCGACCCCUCCCCUUGUCCUUGUUGCCCCGCUACAUUAUCGAAAGAUUUGAUCCAGGGGACCGACGAGCCAAGACUGUCACGUCACCACACACCCCCCUCCUUAGCUGUACGAUGCUACAUGAGUACUAUCGACUUUCGAGGAUGAUGGAAGAUUCAAUCCAGGUGAUCGACGAGACAAGAUGGGCAUAUCAUCUCACACCCCCUGGAUGGACAACGCUACAAUACUACUAUCGACUAUUGAGGGUGAUAUCUUCUAGUCCACUGUGAUAGUUACAUCAAUUAGAAACCCAUAGAGGGUGAUUCUUUGAAAUCCCCCUUGAUGACAAGGACACACUAUUACUUUUACCUGUUGCCCCUUUUAUUGGUAUUGUGGGACUAAAGGGACUGGCAUACCAGCCCGUUUGAAGUGGACCGGAGUCCCCGACAGUCUCUUGUGGAAUCGGGUCAAACUAGAGGGUAUUCGUGAGAUAACUACGUGACAUGGUCGGGGAUUCUUUGCCCUUGUCGUAAGUCCGAGAGACGGGGCGAUAGGAUCGGGAGGAUCGUUUAUCAUUACCGCGAGCUCCCAAGACACUAACGGGUUUGGAUAUGUGACCCGAGUAGGCCUAUGGCCUAUAUCGCACUAACCACCACACGGGAAUAAGUAUGGGCACUCUUCGUAGUACAUUCUCCCGAAAGCUCUCCAGACGUCACAGUUGAGCGGCACGCGCCCUGGUGGCUGAUGACCCACAAGUGUAGGGAUCUAUCGUAGUCCUUUCUAUAAGUAAGAGUGUCGAACCCAACGAGGAGCAGAAGGAAAUGACAAGUGGUUUUCAGCAAGGUAUUCUGUGCAGGCACUGAAAUUAUCGGUAACAGAUAGUUGUGUGAUAAGAUAAUUCAUAACGGGUAGCAAGUAACAAUAGUAACAAAGGUGCAACAAGAUGGCCCAAUCCCUUUUGUAGCAAGGGACAAGCCUGGACGAACUCUUAUGUAAGGUAAAGUGCUCCCGAGGACACAUGGGAAUUUCUGUCAAGCUAGUUUCCAUCAUGUUCAUAUGAUUCACGUUCGCUACUUUGAUAGUUUGAUAUGUGGGUGGAACGGUGCUUGGGUGCUGUCCUUACUUGGACAAACAUCGCACUUAUGAUUAACCCCUCUCGCAAGCAUCCGUAACUACGAAAGAAGAAUUAAGACUAAGUCUAACCAUAACAUUAAACUGGUGGAUCCAAAUCAGCUGUAACGACCAAGAUGCGGUCCUUUCCGAUCUGGGGGGUCGAGGCCCCGAAUAGGAAAGAAGCGCAUCUAAGUGUUUUGCAAGCAAGUAAACAUAGCACAAAAUAAUAAAUAUAGUAGACAAUCUGGGAUUCAACUGUCUUCUUAUUAAAAAUACAGAGUACAACGCAGCUACAAACAAGGUAGUUCCGGUACGGACUACAAAACAAGGGAAAUGCUAUGCUACCCGCUGCAGGCCCACGAUCACGACCACGGCUCAGUCCUCUGGAUAUCUCACGUAAAGGCGAUCUGUCUCCUCGUCGUACUGCCACGCCAGCUGGGUGCCGUCGGGAUCAUCUGCCUCUGGGGUACCUGUACCUGCUGGGGGUUUAGGAGGAAUCCGUGAGUCACGGGGACUCAGCAAUCUAAGACCUUGGUGCCAGAACUAGUCAUGUUAUUGGGUAAGGAAGGGGUGAAGUGUUUCAGAUUGUUGCAUCCUAAGAUUGAACAAGUGGCUAGCUUACGCGAAGGAGAAGUGACAGUGUUCUAUACUAACGAUCGUGAUUACUUGAUCAGAAAGUGAUCCUGAACACCUACCUACGGCAUUCGUAACCCCACCGUGUUCCCGAUCGAAGAGAGAUCUUCGAAGGGACAGUCACGGUUACUCACACAGUUGGCAUAUUUUAUUAGUUUUUCUUUAAGUUUUCUAAUACCGGAUGUUAACAAAAUAUUCCAAGUUGCCACAUAACCGCGGGCACGGCUUUCCGAAAGAUUAAACCCUGCAGGGGUGCUCCAACUAGUCCAUCACAAACGAACACAGGCCGAAAAGUCAUCCUCUAUCACGAAUCUCGUGAUCUCGUCGGAUUCCUUAGAGGAAAACCUCAACUCUGGGGAAAACCAAAGCCUCACCGGGAUUCCUAUACGCAAGAUAUACCGCUAAGGUAAGACAAGGCUAGCAGGACCUCCCGGUGUGUCGACGACCCGAUAAGAGCCGCGUAUCUCCGUCUCAGGACAACACCGUCUAUGCAAAGUGGACAAGGACCAAACCUCAAGUUACCCCGGGGUGGUCUUGCCGACUGCUAGGUGGUUGGACCAACACUCAUGAGGAGCACUGGCCCGGGUUGGUGAUUAGGAUCCUCGGGGUAGCUAUUCCCUAUGCAGAUUAUAGUUAGGUGAUUAGCAGAUAGUACCAAAGUUGGGUCCUGCCGGACAAGCCUUAACACUACGCGAUUUAUCAAGGGGGUCCCCAUAACAACCCCGAACGUGUUAGGAGCGAUCAUUAUGGAAUCAAACACCGAUAACCGGUAACUAAGGCGGCAAUAACGGAACAAGACACCCGGCAAAAGGCUAGGCCUCCCGUCAUGUACCUAAUAUAUAGAUACAUUAAUUAAAUAACAGAAAUUAAGAUAAUGAUACCAAGCUCAUGGCAACUCAUGAGUUAUAAACACCUGCAACUAACAAUGCUAACAUUAGUAGCUGAGCAAGCCUACCUAGCCAUGCAAAUUUGCUAGGAAAGAGUAAGGUGUUUGGGCUCAUGGCAUAUGAAGAGGCAAUAUAUUUUCAGUGGUAGGCAGCGAGCAAUAUGACGUGGAAUCGAAACUAACAUAACAAGUCUAGAUAUGGGAUCAAGGUCAUGUCAUCUUGCCUGUGAUAUCCUCAGCUUGGAAUGGUUCUGGAUCGUCCUGCAAGUACUCUCCUGACUCCACGUAAUCGGUCUCCGCUCCCGGUGCUACCCAACACAGGAAUAACAGCCAAUGAACAGCAGCACCACAAAAUGCAACAAUCACAUGAUGCAUGAGAUGAAAGUUGAGCAUGCACCACUAUUUCUAACACUAGCACAAGCAAGAUAAACUACAACGAGUUCCUGGACAGAACUUUGCACUAAACUAUUUGGACAUGCAUGGAAAUGAUAUGGACAGAUGCAUCUCGUAAAAACGGUGCAAAACCAUAUAAAGAACUUUGCAAACGGAGCUACGGAUCAACGGGAAUCAACGAAACACGAUAUGAAGCCCUACGUGAAAGAUUCAUCACCACACGCACAAUUGGCACAAAUCUGGUGUUCCCAGGUUGCCAAGACAUAUAUUAACCCAACAUGAAUGAAAUGGAGCAAGGUAGAACACCCCAACAACAAUUAAACACAAACUUUGAACAAAAUGCCAAAACUACGCAAUCUGCCAGUUUCUGCAUCUUAGCUGUUUGUGAGCCACAUGCAACAUAGCUACAGGUCUUCAAACAUGACAAAUAAUAUAUGUGGAUGUUUCCAACCAAGAACACUACCAUCUCCAGCAAGAAUCACAGCAAAAGGGAUUAAACUCUAGAAGAUACAAGGCCACAAACUUUCCCAAAACCAUCAGUUCUCAGGGACUUAGUGAAAAUUUCUGCACCUGAGUUUCUGUUUCUGUACUGAAGCCUUUUGACAGCAAUCAAAACACAAGAUACUGUACUCCAAAUGACUUGAAAAUUGACAGGAAGCUUCACAAACAUACCAGGUUCAAAACACCAGCACUGAACUAAGUCCAGUUCUCAAUAUACUGACCUGCACAACCUUAUCUACAGGGGAAGAAAAUGUUUUCCGCAUUCCAGACUUAGUGAAAUUUUCAGAGUUCAAAAUUCUGGAAUUUUUCCAGCCACAUGCCCACUUUGUCUAGGCAUAGUUUGCACACACAAGUUCCCAAGAGGUGUUUGACACCACUAUGGUAUUGAGCACAAACCCCUACAACUAACACACCAAGAUCCAUGCCUUUGGGCUCCAUCUAUACCAUGGAAACAAAGCCCAAACUUUCAACAAAAUGAAAAAUGCAAAACCAAAAGGUAUACUUUUAAGAUGACAAUGCAUAGGAGGGUUUCAUGUGCACAAUGACAAAGUGACAUGGGGUUUUGAACCCCAUGUUUGUGUCAUGCACAUCAACAACUCCAACACACACACAAUUCCUCUCAAGCACUAGCAUCAAGCUCGCACACAAGAAAUCUUUGUAUAACAAAAGAGUAUACACACCCCCCACACAUGGGCAUGUGAUGGUGCACACUCUCCCAAGCACCACUAGUAUCUUCCUAGUAUUCAUGUCACCAUCAUAGUGCAAACUACCACAACAAACCACACCCUCACAUGCUAUCAUAAAUAGCUAUCUAGUGCUAUUCCUCACCUCAAGACAUGUGAUGAGGGGGAGGCACCCACACCCCACUAUGUCAAUGCAAGCAAAUAAAACUACAAGAUCCCUUAGACCACCUUAAACUCCCAAAGAUGGGCUCCACAAGAGUAGCUAGUGCAUCUACUCCUUGAGGCACACACACACAAUUACCACACAUCACAAGUACCAUACCCACCAAGUGUUUACCAAGCUAGCAAUACCACCUCUACUUACUUGUAGGUGCACAACACACACACAUAGGGCCAUGUUCUCAACUACACUAGCAAGGAAUAAGAAGAUAAAACCCUCUUGCUGCCCAACAUAAGGGAGGGAAAGUACAAAAAAAAAAAAAANNNNNNNNNNNNNNNNNNNNNNNNNNNNNNNNNNNNNNNNNNNNNNNNNNNNNNNNNNNNNNNNNNNNNNNNNNNNNNNNNNNNNNNNNNNNNNNNNNNNNNNNNNNNNNNNNNNNNNNNNNNNNNNNNNNNNNNNNNNNNNNNNNNNNNNNNNNNNNNNNNNNNNNNNNNNNNNNNNNNNNNNNNNNNNNNNNNNNNNNNNNNNNNNNNNNNNNNNNNNNNNNNNNNNNNNNNNNNNNNNNNNNNNNNNNNNNNNNNNNNNNNNNNNNNNNNNNNNNNNNNNNNNNNNNNNNNNNNNNNNNNNNNNNNNNNNNNNNNNNNNAGUACAAAAAAAAAAAAAACAAAUAAAAUAAAUAGGCAGCAAAGGAAAGAAAGAAAAAAAAAAUUAAAAAAAAUAGCAAAACCAUUCCAGGGUCCCUGGGAUUCGAACUAGGCACCUACUGGAUUACCAGUCACCAACAAACCACUGCACUAGCUGCGCUACUGGUGACAGGAACGCGACAGGAAACAGAUAACUCCCCUUGCUGGCUACCGUAUAGGAAAAGAAACUAAAAAAAUUGUGCCGAGAGGGGGGUUCGAACCCUGGAUCUCCCAUCAGGCGCACGCAUAUGACAGAGAGGUACUACCAUCAGGCUACGAACUGGAGUCUGGCUAAGACUAGCAAGUAAAGCAGAACUACACACGCCUCACGAGAAGCAUCCCGCCGGCGGCCGGACCCGAGGACGCUGGCGGCGCCACUCCCGGCCACCACCGGCGGGGAAAACCAACGGCGGGGCCCGCGGGACUCUCGGGGGACCCAUUUUUGCCCUAAGCACGGGAGAAGGAGCACCCUUGGCUGCCUUGAACUGCAGCGGCGUUCCUGCUACGCUGUAGUUCGCCUGGGAGCACGGGACAGAGAGCUUGACGGGCAGCCCUGCCUGCGUCGCUACGCUGCACGGCCGGCGUGGAGCUCGUGCAUUCGGCGCUGAGGGACGCGAGGAGAAGACCCGCACCUUCUGGGUGCCCACCUACGCGGGGAGGAAACCCUGUGCAAACUGCAAGCUCUUCUCUGAUGAUAUACGCCUACCGAGACCUAGGUGACACGACCCCAGCUGCCGGCGGCGAGGAGAGUUCCUCUGAACAUGGCGCUGCUGCAGAGAGGGGGAGGAAGCCCUCCUCUGCACGGUACCUCCAUAACAAACCUACCCCACCCUGCACCACUCGCGACUACUGCACCCCCACACACCGCUAUCGGACAGAGAAAUGCACACACGCUGGAACGAGCCGGACCGCGGAGGCGGAAGGGAGGAGGACGAGGACGCGGCCUCACCUUGAGGAGAAGAGGGGCGUCGAACGGGGAGGAGGAGCGUCGGAGAGGAAGAAGACGGCCAGACGAAGUCGUCCCGCCGAAGACCGAAGAAGGAGACGGACGCGGAUCGCCCGGUUCGUCCCGUUGACGAGGACGAGCUCGAUGGGGGGGGCCGCUCCUCGGGGUCCUAGCGCCGGGAAUGGGACGCGGGGACUCACCCCGAGCCCCCGGACAUGGCGCCCAGUGCCGGAGACGACGGAUCGGCGGCUUGACGGGGGAGGCGCUGCACCCUCUCUCUCUGCUCUCUCUCAGGACUUACCAGGGAAGAACGAGGGCACUAGGGAAACUGGCGGCGCUGGGGAGGAAAGGAGAGGGAACCCUAGGGCGGAGGAGGAGGUCUCGGGCUCCUUUUAACGCCUCGGGAGGCGAGCUUGAGCCGCUGGAUCGAGAAGAGGGCGAUCGGGAGGUUGAGCGCGCGUCGUACAGGAGGUGACGUCGGGAGGAAGAAGGAGCGCUCGCCGGUGGGCUCUAUUAUCGCCAGGGUGGAGUCUAACUGGGCCAGCACGGGAGAAGGCUCAAUGGGCCAGGGAAAGAAUAGCUACACAGGAAGUUUAACCAAAUAUAACAACAGAGGAAGGAAUGCUUUCAGGGAAGAAAAAAAAUAUUACCCAAGAAAAAUACUGGGAUAAAAAUUAAAAGGAAAAUCCUGCUAGACAAAAAAAAUAAUAGCCCAAUAGGGAAAAAUAGGAAUGCAAUAUUUGGAGAUGUUCGAAAUAAAUGCAAAACAGUAAUUAACCUACUGUUUUGUAUUUAUUUGCACCACCAAAAUCAAAGAAUCAAAUCAGAAAAAUUGCACCCCUUCAUAAGCAAUUUUUAUCUACCCACUAGACAUUUUAGAAACAUCUUUGAGAAAAAGGAAUUUUGACAAGAAUAAAAAUAGGAGGGGAAAAGGAGUUUGAAAGCAAGAGCUUAAAAGACUAGCACUCCUCUUGCAUCACACACCAUUAUCACAUGCUCACAAGGUAGUGCAAAACCACCACUUAAUCUUAGCAAGAUCACAUGCUCUCACAACACCACAACACUACUCCUAUCAAACCCAAAUGCAACAUGAUCAUGGCAUGCAAUCAUAAGUAUGGCAAGGAAUGAUAUGUAAUUCAUGCAUGCGAGGGAAGUAAGCACUAGGGAACACACAUGAAUUCAUGGCACAAAAUGAUAUCACCAAGAUCUCUGACAAGGUGGCCCCACAUGGAAGGUUACAAGAAAGGAAAGUCUACACUUGGGGCAUUACAUCAGCCCCUUGCGAAGCAAUGCAUAAACUAGGGUUUAAGCUUCUGUCACUCUAGCAACCCAUCAUCUACUUAUUACUUCCCAAUGCCUUCCUCUAGGCCCAAAUAAUGGUGAAGUGUCAUGUAGUCGACGUUCACAAAACACCACUAGAGGAAAGACAACAUACAACGCAUCAAAAUAUCGAACGCAUACCAAAUUCACAUGACUACUUAUAGCAAGACUUAUCACAUGUCCUCAGGAAGAAACGUAACUACUCACAAAGCAUAAUUAUGUUAAGGAUCAGAUAGGUAUUGAAUAGCAUUAAGGAUCUGAACAUAUGAUCUUCCAUCGAGUAAUCCAACUAGCACCAACUACAAGGAGUAAUUAACACUACUAGCAACCUUACAAGUACCAAUCGGAGUUGCGAGACGGAGAUUGAGUACAAGAGAUGAACUAGGGUUUGAAAAUGAGAUGGUGCUGAUGAAGAUGUUGAUGGAGAGGAGUCCCCUCCAAUGAGAGGAGUGUUGGUGAUGACGAUGGCGACGAUUUCCCCCUCAGGGAGGGAAGUUUCCCCGGCAGGACGGCCCUGCCGGAGCUCUAGAUUGGUUCUGCUCAAGUUCCGCCUCGUGGCGGUGGCGUCUCUUCCCGAAAGCCCUCUCCUGAUUUUUUCUGGGUAGAAACCCUCUAUAUAGCACAAGAUGGGAGCCGAAGGGGUAACAGGGGGCCCACGAGCCAGCCAGGCGCACCUAGGGGGGUAGGGCGCGCCUGGCAGGCUUGUGGCCUCCUGGCGGCUCCCCUCCAGUAUUUCUUCUGCCCAGUAUUUUUUAUAUAUUCGAAAACAAUUCCUCGCCGAUUUUCAUGGAUUUUCGAGUUGUGCAUAAUAGGUAUCUCAAACUUGCUCAUUUUCCUGCCCAGAAUUCCAGCUGCCGGCAUUCUCCCUCUUCAUGUAACCUUAUAAAAUAAGAGAGAAAAGGCAUAAGUAUUGUACCAUAAUGUGUAGUGACAACCCAUAAUAUGAUAAAUAUCAAUAUAAAAGCAUGAUGCAAAAUGGACGUAUCAACUCCCCCAAGCUUAGACCUCGCUUGUCCUCAAGCGGAAGCCGAGAUCAAUAAAUAUGCCCACAUGUUUAGAGAUAGAGGUGUCGAUAAAAUAAAAUACGUACAUGCAGGCAUCAUGAUCAUAUUUAGAACAUCAAUAUUGUCAUAUAAUCUCUGAUGCUAAAGUGACAAUUCCUUCACAAUGUAAAGUACGGAUCAAGAACCUUAUUGAGAAUUAACGACCAAUAGUCUUUAGUCAUUGAAGCAAUUGCAAUUUAUCAUAACAUCGGAAAGAGUCAAAUAAGAGCUUGUAAAGCAAAUCCACAUACUCAAUCAUCUUUUAAUCUUCUACAAUUGCUAAAACUCACGCGAUACUCAUGAGAUCAAAGUUUCAGUUGGACACAGAGAAAGAUAGGGGCUUAUAGUUUUGCCUCCCAACUAUUUACCUCAAGGAUAAUGUCAACUAUAAUAAUUCAUGAUUACUUACUUCCAAGUUGAUGUAUGAAUAUAGAUCUUUCCCUAACACAUGACGCUAGCCAAGAUAAUGGCGAAAUAAGGAAUUGGUGUCGAUCACCAUGACUCUUUUAAAGAUAAAAAGUAAAGGUACAAGAUAGGCCCUUCGCAGAGGGAAGCAGAGGUUGUCAUGCGCUUUUGAGGUUUGGAUGUGUGAUCUCUUAGUGUGAAGGAACGCCACUUUAUAUUGCCUCGUGUGAUAAAGAACUUUAUUAUGCAGUCUGUCGCUUUUAUGUCUUCCUUAUCGCAGGUUCGUACAAAGCUUAUUUUCCACACACUAAUAGAUCAUGCAUAUUUAGGGAGCAAAUUUUUAUUGCUUGCACCGAUGACAUCUUACUUGAGGGAUCUUAUUCAAUCCAUAGGUAGGUAUGGUGGACUCUCAUGGAAAAACUGAGUUGAGGGUUUAUGGAUGCACAAGUAGUAUCUCUACUUAGUGCGGAAGUUUUGGCUGAUAUGAGGUGGAAUCAAGCGUCACAUGCUAAGGGAUCUCUAGUCAAAUAACAUUGUUCGGAACCAAGCAAACAUAAUUCAUUAUCUUGUCUUCCUUGUCCAACAUCUACUUCUUAGUAUGUAAUAGUUUAGUGAGUGUUCACAAUCAUAGACGGUGUCAAAGAUGAUAUAUUUACAUGUGAACCUCUCUUUCUUUAUUACUUCCUAUUAAUUGCAACAAUGACCAAGGUCUACAUUUGUCCACCUACAACAAGUUUCAAUCAACAUUCUUUUUAUAUGUGAAGCCAUCACUUCCCAUAAGAUCAUUACAAGAUCUUUCAUGCUUUUGUUAUUUUAUUAUUCUUUUCUUUAGAUCAUGGCAUGAAGCAAGGCCCUUAACUAAAACACUCCUUAUUAUAUAACUCACGAACUCGAUUACAUUGGGGGUAACACAAAGCAAAACUCAAGCCUAGAUCAUACUAAGAACUUUAUUCUACUAGAAAAAGAUAUUACCAAAAAGGAUCGAACUAAGAAAAAGUUAAAGGCAAAAGAUGUGAUGGUGAUACGAACCGGGGCAACUCCCCCAAGCUUGGCACAAGCCAAGGGGAGUGCCCAUACCCGUGUUUAAUUUUCUUCCUUCGAGGGUGAUGGUGUUGGAGUUGUUGCAGAGUUCUUAAGCUUGUUUAGUUUCCUCUUGAGCACAAAAUUCUGCUCCUUCAGAUCGUUAAUUUCCUCUUCAAGCCUCAACACCCUUUGGCAUAAUUCUUGCUUACUCUCCUGCAAAAGACGAGAAUGGGUAAACAAAAUCUUAGGCUUCUUCCUUGAGUCAGGGAGGCUCGACUUCUUGAACUCCACAUGUAUGUCUCCAGGUUGGGGUAGAGGAGCCUCCUCUUCAUCGGAACUUGUUCCUUCCUUCCCCUUGGGAUCAUAAUCUUCUUCCUCAUCAGUGGUCCAACCAUAAGGGUCCAAGUCCCCAUAGACCUUGGGGUUAGCAAGGUAAUCGACCACAUAGCUCUCCCCCUCUGAAUCUUGAGAAGACAUCUUGAUUUAAAUCUGCUGCAAAAACAGGCUCGAAACGAAAACAGAGGAUAUUUGCGUGAUAUGAGGGUCAGAACUUUUAGGAGAUUAUAUAAUGAUUUUUUACCGACCAAAAGGAGUAUUCCACAAGAAAACGGAGUCCGGGAGGCACACGAGGUGCUCAUGAGUCCCUGAGGCGCGCCCAGGGGGGUGGGGCGCGCCUGGCAGGCUUGUCACCUCCUCGUGCGCUUUCCGGACUACUUCAAAUUUUUCUAUUUUUCUAAAAAUUCCAAAACGGAGAAAAACUGCUAUUGGAAAAGUUUUGGAGUCGGUUUACUUACCGAAUCACAUACCUCUUCGUUUUCGGUGUCUGAAACAAGUGGGUAAAUAUCCCUUAUGUACUCCUCCGGAGUUAUGGUAUUAAUAAUAUUGCUUUCAACAUUUAUGGGAGUACCUGCGAUAUAAUGCUUGAUUCUUUGACCAUUUACAACUCUCGGGAAAUUUCCUUCCACGUUGUUGAUUUUUAUGGCACCGGAACGAUAUACUUCCUCAACAAUGUAAGGACCUUCCCAUUUAGAGAGAAGCUUGCCUGCAAAAAAUCUUAAACGAGAAUUGUAUAGCAAGACAUGAUCACCUACAUUGAACUCACGUUUUUGUAUCCUUUUAUCAUGCCACCUGUUAACUUUUUAUUUAAACAACUUGGCAUUUUCAUAUGCCUGAGUUCUCCAUUCAUCAAGUGAGCUAAUAUCAAAUAACCUCUUCUCACUAGCAAGUUUGAAAUCAAAGUUGAGCUCUUUGAUUGCCCAAUAAGCCUGAUGCUCUAGCCCAAGAGGUAAAUGACAUGCUUUACCACAAAACAUUUUAUACGGAGACAUGCCCAUAGAAUUCUUAUAAGUAGUUCUAUAAGCCCACAGUGCAUCAUCAAGCUUCUUAGACCAAUUCUUUCUAGACCUAUUGAUAGUCUUUUGCAGAAUUAGUUUAAUUUCUCUAUUACUUACCUCUACUUGACCACUGGACUGAGGAUGAUAAGGAGAUGCAAUUCUAUGGUUGACAUCAUACUUACCAAGCGUUUUACGGAAAGCACCAUGAAUAAAAUGUGAACCACCAUCAGUCAUUAAAUAUCUAGGGACUCAAAAUCUAUGGAAAAUAACUUCUUUAAGCAUCUUAAUAGAGGUGUUAUGAUCAACACUACUAGCUGGGAUAGCUUGUACCCACUUAGUAACGUAAUCAACAACAACUAGAAUAUGAGUAUACCCGUUAGACUUUGGAAAAGGUCCCAUAUAAUCAAAACCCCAAACAUCAAAUGGUUCAAUGACAAGUGAAUAAUUCACAGGCAUUUCCUGACGUUUACUGAUAUUACCUAUUCUUUGACAUUCAUCACAAGACAAGACAAACUCACGAGCAUCCUUGAAGAGAGUAGGCCAAUAAAAACCGGAUUGCAAUACCUUGUGUGCAGUUCUAUCUCCCGCAUGGUAUCCUACGUAAGCCUCGGAGUGACACUUUUGUAGGAUCUGUCCCUGUUCAUGCUCAGGUACACAACGUCUAAUAACACCAUCUACUCCUUCUUUAUAAAGGUGAGGAUCAUCCCAAAAGUAAUGUCUCAGACCAUAAAAGAACUUUUUCUUUUGUUGGUAUGUGAAACUAGGUGGUAUAUAUUUAGCAACAAUAUAAUUGGCAUAAUCUGCAUACCAAGGUGUACUACGUGAAGCAUUGAUGACAUUCAAUUGUUCAUCAGGAAAGAUAUCAUCAAUAGGUUGUGGGUCAUCAAGAACAUUCUCCAAGCUAGACAAGUUAUCUGCUACGGGGUUCUCAUCACCCUUCCUAGCAACAACAUGCAAAUGAAAUUCUUUUAGCAAGAGAACCCAUCUAAUAAGUCUAGGUUUAGCAUCUUUCUUUUCCAUGAUAUAUUUAAUAGCAGCAUGAUCAGUGUGAAUAGUAACUUUGGAAUCAACUAUAUAAGAUCUGAACUUAUCACAUGCAAACACAACUGCUAAAAAUUCUUUUUCAGUAGUAGCAUAGUUUCUUUGGGCACUGUCUAGAGUUUUACUAGCAUAAUUAAUAACAUUUUAUUUCUUAUCAACUCUUUCUCUUAGAACAGCACCAACAACAUAAUCACUUGCAUCACACAUAAUUUCAAAAGGUAGGUUCCAAUCAGUUGGUUGAACAAUAGGUGCAAUUAUCAAGGCCUUCUUAAGUAUUUCAAAUGCUUCUUCACAAUCAUCAUAAAAAACAAAUGGAAUAUCUUUUUGCAAGAGAUUGGUGAGAGGCCUAGAAAUCUUAGAGAAGUCUUUAAUGAACCUUCUAUAGAAACCAACAUGAUCAAGGAAACUUCUUAUACCUUUAAUGUCUGUAGGGCAUGGCAUUUUCUCGAUCGCAUCAACUUUAGCCUUAUCAACUCCAAUACAUCUUUUAGAAAUUUUAUGUCCUAAGACGAUGCCUUCAUUAAUCAUAAAGUGGCACUUCUCCCAAUUUAAGACAAGAUUAGUAUCUUUACAUAUCUGCAAAACUCGAUCAAGGUUGCUCAAGCAAUCAUCAAAAGAAGAUCCGUAAACGGAGAAAUCAUCCAUGAAAACCUCAACAAUCUUUUCACAAAAGUCAGAGAAUAUAGCCAUCAUACAUCUUUGAAAGGUAGCAGGUGCAUUGCAUAAACCAAAAGGCAUAUGUUUAUAAGCAAAGGUACCGAAAGGGCAAGUAAAAGUGGUUUACUUCUGAUCAGAUUGUGCAACUGGUAUUUGGGAGAAACCAGAAUAACCAUCUAGAAAGCAAAAGUGUGUGUGUUUAGACAAUCUUUCUAGCAUUUGGUCAAUAAAAGGCAAAGGGUAAUGAUCUUUCCUAGUAGCUUUAUUUAAUUUCCUAAAAUAAAUUACCAUCCUAUAGCCAGUAACAAUUCUCUGUGGGAUCAAUUCAUCUUUAUCAUUAGGGACAACGGUAAUACCUCCCUUCUUAGGGACACAAUGCACCGGACUUACCCAAUCACUAUGAGCAACAGGAUAGAUAAUACCUGCUUCCAGGAGCUUUAGUAUUUCUUUUCUUACCACCUCUUUCAUCUUAGGAUUUAAUCUUCGUUGAUGAUCAGCAACUGGUUUGGAAUCAGGAUCAGUUUUAAUUUUAUGCUGGCAUAGAGUGGGACUAAUGCCCUUAAGAUCAUCAAGAGUAUAUCCAAUAGCAACACGGUGCUUCCUGAGAGUUUUCAAUAAUUUCUUUUCUUCAUGCUCUGAAAGGUUAACACUAAUAAUAACAUGAUAUAUCUCUUUUUCAUCAAGAUAAGCAUACUUAAGAGUAUCAGGUAAUUGUUUUAGCUCAAACACAGGAUCACCCUUUGGUGGAGGUGGAUCUGCAAGUAAUUCAAUAGGCAAAUUAUUCUUAAGGAUAGGAUGUUGUUCAAAGAUAACUCCAUAUAUCUCAUUCCUUUCAUCCAUAUGCAUAUCAUUUUCAUGUUCAAGCAAGUAUUGCUCCAAAGGAUCAGUAGGAGGCACAACAAUAGAAGCUAGAGCAAUAAUUUCAUCCUUACUAGACAAUUCUUUUUCAUGAGGUUGUCUACCAAACUUGGAAAAAUUAAAUUCAUGUGACACACCUUCAAAGCCAACAGUAACAGUUUGUUUCUCACAAUCAAUCUGAGCAUUAACAGUAUUGAGGAAAGGUCUACCAAAUAUGAUUGGACAAAAGCUAUCUUGUGUGGUAGCAAGAACGAGAAAAUCUGUAGGAUACUUAGUUUUACCACACAAGACUUCAACAUCUCUAACAAUUCCCACAGGGCAGAUAGUAUCUCUAUUAGCAAGUUGAAUAGUAACAUCAAUAAAUUCCAUCUCGACAGGUGCAAUCUCAUCUUUAAUUUCAUUAUAUAAAGAUCGAGGUAUUGCACUACCACUAGCAGCCAUGUCACGUAAACCAUGAUAACAAUGAUCUCCUAUCUUAACAGAAACAACAAACAUGCCAACAACAUGCUUAUGUUUGUCUCUAGCAUGAGGUUUAGCAAUUCUAGCAGCAUUUUCACAGAAGUGAAUAACAUGCCCAUCAACAUUAUCGGCCAAGAGAUCUUUAAUAAUGGCAAUGCUAGGUUCAACUUUAAUUUGCUCACGGGGUGUAGGUGUUCUAAUGUAGCCCUUACGUAUCACAGUUGAAGCUUUAGCAUGAUCCUUUAUUCUAACAAGGAAAGGUGGUUUCUGAAUGUAAGCACUAGGAACAAUAGAAUCAUUAUAAGCAAUGACUUUCUCUUCAACUGGAUUGGGUUUUACUACAUUGACUUCUAUGGGAGGAUGAUAUUUAAACCACUUCUCCUUAGGGAGAUUAAUAUGAGCAGCAAAUGAUUCACAUAAUGAAGCUACUAUCUCAGAGUCAAGUCCAUGUUUAGCGCUAAAAUCAAGAAAACUAUUUGUCUCAGCGAAGGAUUUAACGCAAUCGAACUUAAGAUUCAUACCUGACUCCUUAUCUUCAUCAAACUCCCAAUCUUCAGAGUUGCAUUUAAUUCUUUCCAAUAAAUCCCAUUUGAAGUCAAUAUCUCUCUUCAUAAAGGAACCGGUACAAGAAGUGUCAAGUAUGCAUCAUGAAAAAGUCGAGCAUAAAAGUUUUGAAUAAUAAUUUCUGUCGAGAGCUCAUGGUUGGGGCAUGAAUAUAACAUUGGCUUAAGCCUCCCCCAAGCUUGAGCGAUACUUUCUCUAUCACGAGGCCAAAUAUUAUAUAUAUAAUUCCGAUCACGAUGUACCAAAUGCAUAGGAUAAAACUUUUGAUGAAAUUCCAAUUUCAAUCGGUUGUAGUUCCAUGGUCCAGUAUCAUCACAUAGCCUAUACCAUGCCAAUGCUUUAUCCCUCAAAGAUAAGGGAAAGACCUUCUUAUUGACCUCAUCCUCGGGCAAACCUUGAAGCUUAAAUAAACCACAAACUUCAUCUACAUAGAUUAGAUGCAAGUCGGGAUGUGAUGUUCCAUCUCCUGUAAAAGGAUUAGCCAACAGUUUAUCUAGCAUACCCGAAGGAAUUUCAUAAUAAAUAUUUUCAGUAGGUGCAGUAGGUUGAGGGGCAAAUCUUUGUGCUUCCGUUCGAGGUGAAGAUGCCCCAAACAAGCUCCUCAAAGGAUUAGUUUCCAUGGUGACAAGUGACAAUAAAUUUCAGCACACUAUAUAAAUGUUUCCUUACCAAAGGCGCUUCACUCCCCGGCAACAGCCCCAGAAAAGAGUCUUGAUGACCCACAAGUGUAGGGGAUCUAUCGUAGUCCUUUCGAUAAGUAAGAGUGUCGAACCCAACGAGGAGCAGAAGGAAAUGACAAGUGGUUUUCAGCAAGGUAUUCUCUGCAGGCACUGAAAUUAUCGGUAACAGAUAGUUGUGUGAUAAGAUAAUUCGUAACGGGUAGCAAGUAACAAUAGUAACAAAGGUGCAGCAAGAUGGCCCAAUCCCUUUUGUAGCAAGGGACAAGCCUGGACGAACUCUUAUGUAAGGUAAAGCGCUCCCGAGGACACAUGGGAAUUUCUGUCAAGCUAGUUUUCAUCAUGUUCAUAUGAUCCACGUUCGCUACUUUGAUAGUUUGAUAUGUGGGUGGAACGGUGCUUGGUGCUGUACUUACUUGGACAAAAAUCCCACUUAUGAUUAACCCCUCUCGCAAUCAUCCGCAACUACGAAAGAAGAAUUAAGACUAAGUCUAACCAUAGCUUUAAACUGGUGGAUCCAAACCAGCCCCUUGCGAAGCAACGCAUAAACUAGGGUUUAAGCUUCUGUCACUCUAGCAACCCAUCAUCUACUUAUUACUUCCCAGUGCCUUCCUCUAGGCCCAAAUAAUGGUGAAGUGUCAUGUAGUCUACAUUCACAUAACACCACUAGAGGAAAGACAACAUACAACGCAUCAAAAUAUCGAACGAAUACCAAAUUCACAUAACUACUUAUAGCAAGACUUAUCCCAUGUCCUGAGGAACAAACGUAACUACUCACAAAGCAUACUUAUGUUCAUGAUCAGAGACAUAUUGAAUAACAUUAAGGAUCUGAACAUAUGAUCUACAUAUGAUCUUCCAUCAAGUAAUCCAACUAGCAUCAACUACAAGGAGUAAUUAACACUACUAGCAACCGUACAAGUACCAAUCGGAGUCACGAGAUGGAGAUUGGGUACAAGAGAUGAACUAGGGUUUGGAUAUUAGAUGGUGCUGAUGAAGAUGUUGAUGGAGAGGAGUCCCCUUCGAUGAGAGGAUUGUUGGUGAUGACGAUGGCGACAAUUUCCCCCUCCAGAAAGGAAGUUUCCCCGACAGGACGGCCCUGCCGGAGCUCUAGAUUGGUUCUGCUCAAGUUCCGCCUCGUGGCGGCGGCGUCUCUUCCCGAAUGCCCUCUCCUGAUUUUUUCUGGGACGAAAUCCUCUAUAUAGCAGAAGAUGGGAGCUGGGGGGUAACAGGGGCCCCACGAGCCAGCCAGGCGCGCCCAGGGGGGUAGGGCGCUCCUGGCAGGCUUGUGGCCUCGUGGCGGCUCCCCUCCAGUAUUUCUUCCGCCCAGUAUUUUUUAUAUAUUCCAAAAUAAUUCCUCGCUGAUUUUCACGGCUUUUGGAGUUGUGCAGAAUAGGUAUCUCAAACUUGCUCCUUUUCCAACCUAGAAUUCCAACAGCCGACAUUCUCCCUCUUCAUGUAAACCUUAUAAAAUAAGAGAGAAAAGACAUAACUAUUGUACCAUAAUGUGUAGUGACAACCCAUAAUGCGAUAAAUAUCAAUAUAAAAGCAUGAUGCAAAAUGGACGUAACAGUGGCCCGCGUAAGCACCUUCUGUAUAAAGAGGUGUCAAGACUAACACCGGUCGUCCUCGCAACGCACAUGAUUGCAAAGGGCGAUUGGCCCAUGACCCCUUCACAUUUAGGAUGUAGACCGGUGUGUGGCCUCUCUGUUGAGCCUAGGUAGGACUUUGGCGUGUCGAUCAGUCGAGGCUGGGCAUGACCCAAGUAAGUGUGCCCGGCCGGAGUUAAUCGAGCGUGUUGGGUAAUAUGGUGCACCCGUGCAGGGAAGUAUAUCUAAUUGAAUAGUCGUGUCCACGGUAAUGGAUGCUAAGAGAAUAUCCUGAUCUACUACAACUAGAACUAGGUACUUGUGAUAUUAAAUUGAAAUGUUGGCUUUGGGAUCGCUUUCUUGUAGGGAGUCGAGGAAGGAUCUCUGGGCCUUGCUAUUGCAUGCUUGUAUAUGAUUUACUACUGUGAACUCUUCUAAUGCUGCAAGACACUGAAGAUGUUAGUCUUCGAUACGACUAGGUCUUUCCACUCUCUUCUGGAUUUUCUGCAGUUCAGUCUAAAGAUAUAUCCCCAUUCCUUUGACACUGAUGCAUAUUUAGUUUAGAUUUGAUGUAAGUCUUGCGAGUACUUCGGAUGAGUAUCACCGUUGAUUUGCUUCCCUUUUCCCAUUUGGUACGACUGUUGUGAUCAAAUGACGAAGCCCAGGAGCCAUCUGAUCCCGUCGACGACUACUACUACCCCGACGGAGAUUACUACUAUGUGGAGGCUAUUGAGUAGUUAGGGGGCUCCCAGGAAGGAGGCCUUGCCUUUUCGAUCCGUGUUGAUGAUUGUGUUAGCCUUCUUAAGGCAAACUUGUUUGUUAAAUGUAUGUACUCAAAUAUUGUUGCUUCCGUUGACUCGUUCGUACUCGAGCUUAUGUAUUCAAGCCCUCGUGGCCUCUGGCUUGUAAUAUAAAGCUUGAAUUAUUCUAUUUGUGUUUAGAGUUGUGUUUUGGUAUCUUCCCGUGAGUCCCUGAUCUUGAUUGUACGCAUUUACGUGUAUGAUUAGCAUACGAUUAAGGCGAGGGAGUCACAAAAACAACUCUAAACUACCAUGUGUACAUUGUUCUCUUGCCCGCAUAUAAGUUAGAUGCAUGAGGGAGAUAAUUUUGACCCAUUGUUUGAUUGGUCAAAUAGCACUAGGCACACAUAGGGCACAUUGUUUGGUUGCAACCUGCAUUAGGUGUUGUAACCACUUCUCACUAGUGGCGACCUUACCACACACGAUCAUAACAGUUUCACUACCUAGCUAUGAAACAAAUUAUGG